CCGACGUCGUCGCCUUCGCCGCCCGCGACGCGUCCUACUUCCUCAGCAACCGCAGGAUCAACAUCCCGACGCAGGGCGGCCGCUAUGACGGGCGCGAGUCCUUUGCCAACGAGACCGACCAGCUGCCCGGGCCCUUCUCCAAUGUCACGGAGCUCCAGGCGAGCUUCGCGGCCAAAGGGCUCACCUCUGACGAGAUGGUCGUGCUCUCCGGUGCACACACAAUCGGCCGCGCCCGCUGCAUGUUUUCCUCCAGCCGUCUCUCUGAGAUGGACCCGGCAUUUGCCGCCAAGCUCAGGGCCCAGUGCAACGGAGAUGACAACACCAACGUGAACCAAGACGAUGUGACCCCCGACGUCCUGGACAGGCAGUACUACCAGAACGUGAUCGACAGGAAAGUGUUGUUCACCUCAGACGCCGUGCUCAACUCGACUGAAACAAUAGCGCAGGUGACAGAAAACGCGAACAGGGCCGGGGCGUGGGAGAGGAAGUUCGAGAGAGCAAUGGAGAAUAUGGGAAAAAUCGGGAUCAAGACCAGAGGCGACCAGCAAGGCGCAGAGAUCAGGAAGGUAUGCUCCAGAGUCAACAACUAACGUCAGCUAGUAGUAAUGCGGGGUCGUUGGCUGGCUCCAUCCAUGGCGGAAUCGCCCGACGAUGAGAUGUAACUCCGUCUAGCUACUGUCAUUGUUGGUUUUCUCAUACUACUAAAACUCUGUGUGUGCCGGCGCGCGUGCGUGUCUAUGUGUGUCUGUUAAUAAAGGUAUACAGUAAGUACCAAGUAAAUAUUGUGUUCACCUACAAUUCCAUUAUUUUUCUAGUUGUUUCUCACGAUUUUAUAUUGCAUCAAUGUGACUAACAUCUUGUACGUCGAGAAGACCCCCUCCCCCCUUCCCUAUUUUUUCAUCAUGCCAAGCCCAGAAAUCUUCAUGUUCGGCAAUGUUUAAUGGUAUAUUACAAAUGGCAAACAUGUUCGUACGUUGCAACGGAGAAAAACUUCUUUUCUGAAACUACCUUUGUGUUCUCCUAUAAAAAGUGCCAGAAUCAAGAUGUGGUAGGGAAAUUAAUAUGCAAACUUUGAUGUUUUUACUAUUAUUUUUGGCUCACAUUAUAAGCAUCUACAAAAAUCACCUCAUGCAUUGGUGUCCAGGAAGACGGAUCUUUGAUAAAAUAACCAAGAAUACUUAUAUACUAACAUAAGUAAGAUAUUACUCUCCCCAAUCCAUAAUAAUUGUUGAAGUUGUACUAAAGCUGCAACAAUUAAUAUGAAUAGGAAGGGAUAUAUAUUUUAGCACAAGAAAAUUUCAAUUGUCGCAAAAGUUAUAACAAACCUAAAUAUAUUAUAUUUUGAACAACAUUGUAACUAUCCAAAUAUCUUUUGCAAGUAACAUCUUGUACAUAUAUGCAUGUAGGCAAAGUUCUAAAAGAUCCUGGUCAAAUCCAUAUUGAGACGUGUUGGUAUUUUGUAACCGGCCGUGGACAUGUUGUCACUAGUAGAAAACAUGGCUAUAGUUUCUGUUGGGGAGGGCUAUAGCCAACCGGAGCUAAUAAUUAGAGACUAAAGCCCCUUAGUCCCGGUUCAUGUUCAACCGGGACUAAAGGAGCUUCACGUGGCCGCUGUCGGACGCCCAAGCAGGAGGACCUUUAGGGUUAUCAACCGGGACUAAAAGGUCGUGUUUUCAUUUUCUUUUAUAUUUAUAUUGUAUUUUCAUGUGGUUACACAUAUUUAUAUACAACAUCAGUAUAAAUUAUGAAAGAACAACAUCCAACAUCAGUACAAAUUAGAUCGAUGCGAUAGACCAAAUUAAAUUAGAGGAAAAUACGAUAUUGGUCUAUUGCAUCCAUCUAAUUUGUACUAGUAUAUGUCAUAUAACAACUCAUCAUCAUCAUCUUAAUCAACUCAUCAUCAUUCAACAUCCAACAACUCAUCAUCAUCUUAAUCAACUCCUCAUCAUUGUGGUUAUCACAAGGUUGAAACACUAAUUAUUACUACUCUCUCUUAGGUAAAAAAAAAAGCAUAAUAAAGGCAAGCUCCAACAUCUCCCCAUUGAAGAACACAGAUCAACCUAUCUCCAACUUGUGGGAUGCGCAAGUAUUCCUCUCCAAGUGGUGUCGUGGAUACUUGUAUUCCAUUUCUCCAUCCUUUGAUUUUCAGGGUUUCUUCACUUUGAGAUAUCCUGUAUUUAUCAUUGUAAUUAAUCGGGAGUGGCCGUAAGCUAACCAUAUGCAAAUUACCGGUGGCAAACAUCCAUUUAGACACGGUCUCUCAUGGAAGUACAUGUUGAAGAACAUAAGUAAUAAUAACAUAGUUAGCUAUAUGACGAAGCGUAGAACCCUUUGUCUCGGGCCGCAAUGUAUUUAUAUCACAAUAUCUUGGAGUACAAGGCAAGAUCUUAUCAAGAGGUUACAUGAGAUAAGGGAGAUUAGAGAAGAGAUAGAAAAGGGUUUAAACUACAACUGUAUCCUAUACAAUUGUCUAACACUCCCCCUCAAUCUAAACCCUAUUUAGCAAGGUUGAGAUUGUACUUAAAAUCAUCUAGCCUCCUCAUUGUGAGAGGUUUGGUGAACCCAUCAGCAAGUUGAUCACCUGUUGGAAUGAACCUUAUAUCAAGUAAUUUGUGUGUUACUCUUUCUCUGACAAACUGAAAAUCAACCUCAAUAUGUUUUGUUCUUACAUGAAAAACAGGAUUAGCUGAGAGAUAGGUUGCACCAAGAUUGUCACACCAUAAUCUGGCAGCCUGAGGCACCUUGAUUCCAAGUUCAUGUAGCAAAGUCUGAAUCCACAUUACCUCAGUUGUUGCAUUUGCUAAAGCCUUAUAUUCAGCCUCAGUACUAGACCUUGAGACUGUUGCCUGCUUCCUUGCACUCCAUGACACAAGAUUUGUUCCCAGAAAUACAGCUAAACCACCUGUUGAUCUUCUGUCAUCAGCACAUCCUGCCUAGUCUGCAUCAGAGUAGGCUGACACAAGCAUAGAUGGAGAUUUUACAAUUUGAAGACCAAGUCCUUUUGUAAACUUCAGAUACCUCAAAAUUCUUUUUACUGCUGUCCAAUGAGAAUUAGUAGGAGCAUGUAAGUAUUGACAUACUUUGUUGACAGAAUAUGAAAUAUCAGGUCGUGUGAGAGUUAAAUACUACAAUGCUCCUACAAUACUCCUAUAGUUUGUUGCAUCAUCUGGCCCAAGUGCUUCUCCACUCUCAACGGUGAGUUUUUCUGAAGUAGAGAUAGGUGUACUAACUGGCUUACAUUUUUCCAUACCUAUUCUUUUGAGAAUAUCAGUAGUAUACCUUUCUUGUGUAAGAAGUAUACCAUCUUUUAUCUUCUUAAUUUACCUCAUUUCCAAGAAAGUAGCGAAGAUCUCCUAGAUCUUUAAGAGCAAACUCUAGCUUUAAAUCUUUAAGCAGACAAGUUGUAGCAUCUGGACUUGAGCUGGCAACAAUUAUAUCAUCAACAUAAACAAGAACAAAUAUAGUAACAUUGUUCUUACUGUAGAAGAAUAAGGAGGUAUCUGCCUUUGAUGGUGUGAACCCAAGUUUUUGUAACUGUGUACUUAACCUUGAAUACCAGGCUCUUGGGGCCUGUUUCAACCCAUACAAAGCUUUAUCCAACUUGCAGACAUGAUGUGGUGUGUUCUUGUUUUUAUACCCUGGUGGUUGCCGCAUGAACACUUCUUCCUCAAGAACACCAUGAAGAAACACGUUCUGGACGUCUAGCUGUCGUAGGCUCCAACCUUUGGAAAUAGCAAUAGACAGUACAAGUCGAAUAGUGGCUGACUUAAUAACAGGGCUGAAAGUAUCCUCAUAAUCAAUACCAAACCUUUGUUUAAACCCUUUUGCAACCAGUCUAGCUUUGUAUCUGUCUAUACUACCAUCAGCUCUUUUUUUAUUUUAUAUACCCAUUUGCAAUCUAUCACAUUUGCACCUUUCUUUGGUAAGACUAACCGCCAUGUUUUAUUUUGAAUCAGUGCAUCAUACUCAACAUCCAUGGCUUUCUUCCAUUCCUUGUGAGCAAGGGCAUCAUGCAAAGUUAUUUGUUCACCAGUACUUGUGAGGAAAGCACGUUUGUGUGUGUCAUAUCUGAUUGUACCGUCUGUAUAUUUCUUAUCCUCGACAACACCUGACCGAGACCGUGUAUGACGAGGAGAAGGAGGAGCUAGAGUUGCUGCAGGUCUGUCCACAGAAGAGUCAGCCGUAGAGGAACCGAUCAAACCGGUCGGGCUGGCCCCCGCACCAACAGUGCCAGAAGGCGGGCCACUGUUGGUGGAGCCAAUGGGCGCCGCGCUUGGGAUCUCGUCGAAGGCGGCGCUGGCGCGGGUGGGCGCCGCACGUGGGGCGCUGUCGGUUGGCUCGGGAGGAUCCUCCUGGGAUCCGCCGACGCGGGUGGGCUCCACACGGGGGGGGGGGCGNNNNNNNNNNNNNNNNNNNNNNNNNNNNNNNNNNNNNNNNNNNNNNNNNNNNNNNNNNNNNNNNNNNNNNNNNNNNNNNNNNNNNNNNNNNNNNNNNNNNNNNNNNNNNNNNNNNNNNNNNNNNNNNNNNNNNNNNNNNNNNNNNNNNNNNNNNNNNNNNNNNNNNNNNNNNNNNNNNNNNNNNNNNNNNNNNNNNNNNNNNNNNNNNNNNNNNNNNNNNNNNNNNNNNNNNNNNNNNNNNNNNNNNNNNNNNNNNNNNNNNGGGGGGGGGGGGGGCUGUCGGCCACGUGGGCGCCGCUGGCGAUUGGCGCGUGGGAGCCGCCGAUGCGGGUGGACCCCGCAGGUGGGGUGCUGUCGGCCACGCGGUUGCGGGCGGUUGGCGCGGGAGAAUCCGCCUGGGACUCCUUGUCGGGCAGACUGCGCCGGGUGACAACCUCGGAUCGCACGCCUGCAGGAGCUGCAGCAGCCAGCGGAUCAGCUUGGAUUUCCGCGCGAGUCUUGGCUGCAUCUGGGUACAUGAAAUAAUGCCCUGUAGCUGCAUUUUCAAUGUCAGUUUCAACAUAUUCCAUGAUAUUUUUCACAUGAUUAGUCCUAAUUAAUUCACCCCCGUGAUUAGAAGAUGAAAUAGGCUCGGAAAGAAGGGAGAUUUCGGCACGCAAAAGAGCUCCCGCAUUAGGAUGGAGUUUAGCAAAGGGAAACAUGGUUUCAUCAAAAAUAACAUCACGGGAAAUAUAGAUACGACCGGAUGAGAUGUGUAGACACUUGUAGCCUUUAUGGAGAUUACUAUAACCAAGGAACACACAUUGUGUAGACCGAAAUUCGAGUUUAUGAUGAUUAUACGGACGAAGGUUUGGGUAACAUGCACACCCAAAGAUUUUGAGAGAACUGUAGUCUGGUUUUUGAUGAAACAAACGUUCCAAUGGAGUAGUGUUGCCAAUUACUCGACUAGGCAAACGAUUUAUAAGGUAUGUGGCCGUGAUAAAGGCCUCAUCCGAAUAUUUAAGUGGCAUGGAUGCGUGAGCUAGAAGGGAUAGGCCAACUUCAACAAUAUGACGGUGUUUUCGUUCGGCCGAACCAUUUUGUUGAUGAGCAUGGGGACAAGAGACAUGGUGAAUAAUCCCAAUGCUACGAAAGAAGGAGUUAAGUUUCUCAUACUCUCCUCCCCAGUCACUUUGAACUGCAAGGAUCUUUUUUUCAAAUUGUCUCUCAACAAGUGUUUGGAAUUCUUGAAAGACAGAGAAAACUUCAGAUUUGUUUUUAAGCAAAUAGAUCCAUGUGAAUUUGCUAUAAUCAUCGAUGAAACUGACAUAAUAUUUCUUUCUACCAAAAGAAUCUCUUGGAUGACCCCAUACAUCACUGAAAAUAAGCUCUAAAGGAGCAUGAGACACACUAUUUGACAAGGGAUAGGGAAGUUGGUGACUCUUGGCACAUUGACAAGCUUCACAAACAGACUCUGUAUUGGAACUACUUGACAAUGCAAGAUUGCCUUUAUCGACUACUUGCUUAACUAUAUUUGAAGAAGGAUGCCCUAAUCUUUGGUGCCAUCUGGCUAGUGACGGCUUGGUGGCAUAAUAAACUUGGCGACGACGCUGUCGAUUAAGACUCUUGAUGUGAUGGGGUAUAGUCCUCCAAUGCAUCUACCGCGAUGGAUGAGUUCCCUCGUUGCCCGAUCUUUAAUGAAAAAAUAGGUAGGAUGAGUUUCAAAGAAAAUAUUGUUGUCGGAUGUCAAACGGGACAUGGAAGCUAGAUUCUUGUCGGCUUGUGGAACAUGGAGAACAUCUUUAAGAACAAGAUCACGUUUGAGGCUAGGGGAAUUAAUGGAGGAUUGACCAAUGUGAAGAAUAUCCAUACCUCCACCACUUGCAGUGUGAAUCUGGUCGUUGCCGUGGUACCUCUCCCUGAGAGCCAGCUUUUCUAGCUCAUUCGUGACAUGAUCUGUGGCGCCGGAGUCGGCGUACCAAACCGUCUCACCAUCGGCUCCACCGUGUUUCCGUGUGGCGGCAGUAGCUUGCCGUGUUUCGGGCGUCUAGUCCUCAUCAUACCGGUGCCAGCAGUCAAUGACUUCGUGGCCCGGCUUCUUGCAAAGCUGGCAUCUCGGUCGGUGAUUGUUGUUGUAGCCGCCGCCGUUGUAGCCGUUGUUGUAGCCACCGCCGCGAUCACCGCCGCCGCGGUCACCACCACCACCAGGGCGAGCCUGGCCCUGGUUUCCGGCGCGUCCUCCACCGCCGUUUUCGCGUCCGCGCCCUUGCUGUCCACGCCCACGACCACAUCUGCGGGAGGCAGCGUUGAUAGAGGAUUGGCGUAGAUUGGUUCCAUGCAGCAUACUGAGCCGGGCGUCGAAGCUCAGAAGCUGGCUGUAGAGCUCCUGAACCGUGACCGGUUCGACCCGCGCGGCCAAGGCCGAGAUCACAGGGUUGUAGUCGAUGUCGAGGCCGGCGAUGACGUGAGAGAUGAUCUCGGCAUCUCCGAGCGGUGCACCGGCGCAGGCAACUUCAUCUGUAAGGGUUUUGAUCUUUCCAAGGUAUUCUGCCAUGGUUAGAUUACCUUUUUGUAGAUUGGUGAGGGCCAUCCUUGUGUUGAUCUUUUGGGCUUGUGUUUGUGCAGCAAACAUGGUAUGGAUGGAAGUCCAUACCUCGACCGGCGUCUGGAGCAUCACCACUUGCGCGAGAACUUCUCGAGAGAGAGAUCCCAUGAGGUAUCCUUGUACCUGCUGUUGCUGCGCGUACCAGAUUGAUCUGGCGUAGUUGAAGACCUGCUCUUCCUUCCCAUCCUUGGUGAUGGCGAUGGUGGCAGGAGGCGCCGGGCUUGCGGCGUCGAGGAAGUGUUCCAUCUGUACCCCCUUGAUCUGGGGUAGCACGACGGCCUUCCAAAGAAGGAAGUUCGUCCUAGUGAGCUUCUCUGAUGGAGGUGGACCGAGAGAGAGCGAGGUAUUGGAGGAGGAUGUGGGCGCGACGGAUGUAAUCUGGGUGGAUGCAAUGGUGGGGAGCGCGGGGCCUGUCAUCGUCGACUCUCUACGAUCGAUGGAGCGGGUUCUCUUUUCGGUAGCUAGGCGUCGAGAGGAAGGGCUCUGAUGACCAUAUGACGAAGCGUAGAACCCUUUGUCUCGGGCCGCAAUGUAUUUAUAUCACAAUAUCUUGGAGUACAAGGCAAGAUCUUAUCAAGAGGUUACAUGAGAUAAGGGAUAUCAGAGAAGAGAUAGAAAAGGGUUUAAACUACAACCGUAUCCUAUACAAUUGUCUAACAAGCUAAACUAGUUUCGCUUAAGAACAAUGUAUGAAAAAGAUGGACUAGUUACGCAAUGCUAAAAAAUUCUUACAAAGUUGUCUAAAGUGAUGUUAUAAGGGCUCAAUUGGUGUACUAGUGGCACAUAUCCAUGGUAAAUGUUGCCACACAUGUAAUAAUUAGCAUGAUACUUAACAUCAUGAAUAAAUGAAAUGAGAUGAUUUUUCUUCAACCAAGUAAGCUCGGAGCCAUAACUGUAGUAGGUCCGAUCUAUUAUCUCUCGUGCAGUUCUUGUCGCACGGAAAUAGGCUAAUAAUUGAAAAUAAUGAAAUUUAGUCAGGAUGAGUACGGGAUACUAUUCAAUAAUCAAUAUAAAUUACCUAACAAAUUUGUUUACCAAUGCACCUCGAGGUAGAACUGGAAUCAAGUCAUCCUUCGCAUGCAUCAAAAUUCCUAUAUUAUUAUCACGAACAUCAUCAUUAUCAGGAUCGAAGGCAAUGUUCAUGUCCUCAUUCAACACAUAUGCCUUGCAGAAUGCUCUCCAAUUAAAACAAUCAAAAUAUGUAUGAUCUUCUUCAUUUUUUUACUUUGAUAACAAAAGUGAAAUGUUCCGUUCUUAGGUGAGCUAUCUUAGGCAUUGUAAUAUCGUUCUCUUUGAAAUGAAACUUGUUCAAGACAACAAAUCUUGCAUGGCAGGAAAGGCACUAGUCGAAUUGUAUAAAAUAAAAUUAAAGGUUAACUAAAGCAAAAAAGCACACAUACUUCUUCAGUAACAAAAAAAUACAUGUUGUCUUUACAUACCGUAAUAAUUUCAAAUUUAUCCGUCAGCUUGACAAUGAAGGAUGUACCGUUGUCUAGGUGAGGAUAGAAGUUGCAUAUACACGUGUCAUCCUAGCACAAAAGGGACGCAUGGAUCCUAUCAUCAUCGGACCACGCCAUUUUCUAUGUUCAUGAUUCUAAGAUCAAAAAUCGACUGCAAUUUUUUUCUUAAUGCUUAGCGAUUCGAAGAUUAACAUUUUAGUAUUUCAUGAAAAAGCUGAAUUAUAUAUAGUAGUCAGCCGUCGAUGUGGAGAACUUAAUGCCUAAUAAGAAGUAACCUAGUAUUUUUUUUACGUGAACAUUAGCACAAAUACCGGAGGAGCCUAAUAAGAAGUAACCUAGUAAUUCACAUCAACAUUACUCCCUCCAUUUCUAAAUAUAAGACUUUUUAGAGAUUACACUAUGGACUAAAUACGGAUCAAAAUGAAUUAAUCUACAUUCUAAAAUAUGUAAAUUUUCUCAAAUUUCUAUAUAAAAUUUCUAAAAUGAGCUGCGUGGGGCCGAACUGCGCUGCGGUGGGCGGGGGUGACCAUCGGAGGAGGAGGCAGAGGUGGGGUCGGCGGUGGCGUUGCCGUGGGCGGGGCGAGUAGCGGAAGCGGAGGCGGGGCCGGCAGCGGCGCUACGAUGGGUGGGGCCGAGCAUCGAAGGCGGGGCCGACAGGGACAUAUGAUCUUAGGAAGGGGGAGGGGCCUUAUCGGUGUUGCUGAGGAGAGGGGUGGCGACGAUGACGGAGGAGACCGGCGAGGAGGAGGGCGACAUCGAGGAGCGGUAACGGCGACGACGAUGGCGAUUUUGGGCAGCCUCGCGGCGUCGAAGUGACCCUUCUCCCGCGCGGUGGCUAGCAGCACGAGAAGAGGCACUUAUAUACCGGGACUAAGGGACCUCGCCUUUUCGGCGGCGUAAAUUCCGCGCACGAAGGUGGACCUUUAGUCCCGGUUGGUGAUAUCAACCGGGUCCGGGUUGGUGAUACGAAGCUGGACUAAAGGUUGCUUUUUAGACUUUUAUUUGUUUUUCUAAAAAGUAUGGUUUCUAGAUUUUGAAUAACUUUUAGAAUAUUUAGAGCUUUUGAGUGAAUAUUUUUACUUUAGGUCAAAAAAAUUGUAAACUCUUAGUGCGAGUAGUUUUCAAAAUUGAAUAGUUUAAAUUUGAAUUCUUUAAAAAAAUUGUGAAUCAUUAGUUUGUGAAUAACUUUAGUUUAAAAAUAGAUUUUUGAGUGAUUAUCUUUUCCUUCUGUUUAAUAUUAAUGUGUUUUAUGAGUAUGUUCAAUUUGGGUAUCUUUAGGAUAUUUUAAAAUAUGUGUUUUAAUCAAAAAAAUAUGUUUCACUCUUUUAGUUUUGUACAUUUUUCCUUUGUUUUAAUUAUUUGAGAGAUUCAAUUUUAUAGAUUGAAAUUAGUUCUUGUAAAAUACAUAACAAUUUGAAACUAAACCAAAUGAGUUGAUUUAAAUUUCUGUGGAUUCAUCUUGAAGAUUUCUAUCAACUAUAUAGUAUCAUUUUGACAAGAAAUUGCAUAAUUGAUUUUGCACUUAUUAAUUUGAAAAGCACUAUAAAUGAACUCUGAAAAGAUUGAAAUUUGACAUGGUAUCAUCAUUUCACGCAUAUAGCAUGUGCUAAAAAGUUGAGAGAGUUACGGCAAAAACUAGAUGCACUUCGUAUACAAACUAGACAAUAUCUUUUGAAGUAUGAGAGUUUCACACAAAUACUCGUUUGUUACAAAGGCAUUUCAUUUUUUUUAAGCUUACUUGAACUUCAGUCUUUUUGUGCGUUCAAUAUGCAUCAUUCAAAGCCACCUCAUCUCUGACUUCAUUUUCUAUUUUCAUGCAUUUAAUGUUUUUUUAAGCUAAAUGACCCUGAUAUUUAAAAAACACUACAAAUGAUAUCUGAAAAGGUUGAAAUCUGGUAUGGUAUCAUCAUUUCACCCACAUAGAAUGUGUUAAAAAGUUGAGAGGGUUACGAUAAAAACUUAAUGUACUUUGUGUACAAACUAGACAAUCUCUUUCGAAGUAUCAAGGUUUCAGACGAAUACGCAUCCAUUACAAAGGCAUUUAAUUUUUAAGCUUAUUUCAACUCAGACUUUUUGUACAUUCAAUAUGCACCAUUCAAAUAACCCUCAUCAAUUUUCAACCCUUUGUGACUUCAUUUGCUAUUUUAAUGCAUUUAAUCAUUUUUUGUGCUAAAUAACCCUGAAAUUGAAAAGCACUACAAAUGAAAUCUGAAAAGGUUGAAAUUUGGCAUGGUAUCAUCAUUUCACCCACAUCCGAGAAAAGCACUACAAAGUCCGGAAACUCGCUAGAGAAGAAAGUGAUGACGGUGAAGCUGGUCACAUUCCAGAGUGGGAUCUUGGGAUAUAAAAGUUUUUCUUCGCGUGCACCCCUUUGUGUCGUAACCAUGGUCAGUCUUCAUCAUUUAAUAGGAUGCUUGGGUCAGCCUUCACUUUGAAGGAAGGAAAUUCAUGAAACUAUGUGGUGCUUUGGCUCAUCGUAUGAUGUAGUCACUUCCUUAUCUUUUCUUUUUCUAGGUUUGGUAGACAAGUCCUUCACAUAGAAUACCUGCGCCAUGGCAUUGGCUAGGAUGAAUUCAUCUGUGUACCCAAGAUUGUUGAGAUCCAGUGUUGUCAUUCCGUAUCGCUCGUGUUCCAUUAUCCCGACUCCUGUCAGAUUGACCCAUUUGCACUGAAACAAAGGGACCUUAAAAUCACGUCCAUAGUGAAGUACCCAUAUCUCCGCUAUGUAACCAUAAUUUGUGUCCUUUGUCCUAUUGGUGUUUGUUGCAUCAAAGCGGACACCACUGUUUUGGUUGGUUCUCUUUUUAUCUUGGAUGGUCGUGUAAAAUGUAUUCUCAUUUAUCUCAUACCCUUGGAAAGUCAAUACAGUCGAAGAUGGUGUCCUAGCCAAAAGGUACAAGUCAUCCCCAACAGUGUUGGUACCCAUGAGAUGUGUUUGCAACUAACCGCCGAAAAUCCCCAUGUGUUCACGUCUAAUCCAGUCAUCACACUACUCCGGAUGUUUGGAGCGUAGAAUAUUCUUGUGUUCACUGAUAUACGGGGCCAUCAAGGUAGAAUUUUGUAGAACUGUGUAGUGUGCUUGCGCCCAAGAAUGCCCGUCCCUACAUAUUAUCGAAUCCUUUCCUAAUGUGCCUUUUUCACUCAGUAUCCCCUCAUGCCGCGAUUCAGGCACACCAAUCUGCUUAAGGUCCGAAAUAAAGUCAACACAAAACUCAAUAACCUCCUCUGUUUCAUGGCCCUUGGAAAUGCUUCCUUCUGGCCUAGCAUGGUUGUGAACAUAUUUCUUUAAGACUCCCUUGAACCUCUCAAAGGGAAACAUAUUAUGUAAAAAUACAGGACCCAGUAUGGAUAUCUCUUCGACUAGGUGAACUAGGACGCGUGUCAUGAUAUUGAAGAAGGAUGGCAGAAACACCAACUCAAAACUGACAAGACAUUGCACCAAAUCAUUCUGUAACCUUGGUAGGAUUUCUGUAUCGAUUACCUUCUAAGAAAUUACAUUGAGGAAUACACAUAGCUUCACAAUGGCUAAUCGAACAUUUUCUGGUAGAUGCCCCCUCAAUGCAAUCGAAACCAAUUGUGUCAUAAUCAUGUGGCAGUNNNNNNNNNNNNNNNNNNNNNNNNNNNNNNNNNNNNNNNNNNNNNNNNNNNNNNNNNNNNNNNNNNNNNNNNNNNNNNNNNNNNNNNNNNNNNNNNNNNNNNNNNNNNNNNNNNNNNNNNNNNNNNNNNNNNNNNNNNNNNNNNNNNNNNNNNNNNNNNNNNNNNNNNNNNNNNNNNNNNNNNNNNNNNNNNNNNNNNNNNNNNNNNNNNNNNNNNNNNNNNNNNNNNNNNNNNNNNNNNNNNNNNNNNNNNNNNNNNNNNNNNNNNNNNNNNNNNNNNNNNNNNNNNNNNNNNNNNNNNNNNNNNUCAUAAUCAUGUGGCAGUUAUGAGACUAGAUUUUCCAAUGCUUACAAAUUAAGUAACGACGUGCUAAGAAGCUACAACAUCUGCAAUGUAUUUCAGUAGUUGUGACAUUGGAAUAAUGUGGACGUCAUAGAUACAGAUCAUAAUGCCGACGCACAACAUAAUUCGACUCAUAAGUAUUUCAAAUAUUGUUGGUGUCAUCUUCAACGUCACCACUAUUUCUUAACUAUGGCGCCAUAUUGAUGGCGUCGGAUGUCCAAAUGAGUAAGGUCAUUUUUAUCAGGCCAUAGGUAGGCUUUUCUGUACAAAUGCACACGACCAUUCUCGGGCCCGCGUGUUAGCCAGCCAAUCAUAUCUCGUCGGUCCCAUUUAAUCCAAACGUGUGGAAGCCCCCCCCCCCCAGNNNNNNNNNNNNNNNNNNNNNNNNNNNNNNNNNNNNNNNNNNNNNNNNNNNNNNNNNNNNNNNNNNNNNNNNNNNNNNNNNNNNNNNNNNNNNNNNNNNNNNNNNNNNNNNNNNNNNNNNNNNNNNNNNNNNNNNNNNNNNNNNNNNNNNNNNNNNNNNNNNNNNNNNNNNNNNNNNNNNNNNNNNNNNNNNNNNNNNNNNNNNNNNNNNNNNNNNNNNNNNNNNNNNNNNNNNNNNNNNNNNNNNNNNNNNNNNNNNNNNNNNNNNNNNNNNNNNNNNNNNNNNNNNNNNNNNNNNNNNNNNNNNNNNNNNNNNNNNNNNNNNNNNNNNNNGCCCCCCCCCCCCAACACUCACCCAUCCGUCCCACCCCUGUCCUUUUUAAUGCCUAGCUGAUGUGCGUGGAUAUGAAGGUCAUCUUUUACACACUUCUCUGCUCCAGCAUAAUACUUGCGGGCUUCCAAUCCAUCCCAUGGACGCAUUUGACGGCCGGUAUUUUUGAAGGAAAUGUAAUAUAUUCUAAAUUUAACUUUAAAUUAUUUUCAUUCCUUGUAAAAGUUUAAAUUCAAUUUUUUAUGCAAUGUGUGUAAUGCAUAUAGCCCGUUGGAUGCACCCACCACUAGUAGAAAAUUGCCCAUUUGUCCCGGUUCCAGAGGCCCAUUAGCCCCGGUUUCGGAACCGGGACUAAAGGGUCGGGACUAAAGCCCAAAACCUUUAGUCCCGUUCUCUUUACCAACCGAGACAGAAGGGCCUCCACGUGGCCUCUGCGGGGAGCCCAGGCAGGAGGGCCUAUAGUCCCGGUUGGUAAUACCAACCGGGACCAGGAGGUGAGUUUUUUUUUAAUAGGGAGUGUGUUGGGGGUUUUGAAGGGUUAAUUUAGGGGUUUCAUAUUGUGUUAGCGAGCUAAUAGAGAGAAGUGUCCUCUCUUUCUCUGUGAUGUAGAAGUAACGACUUUAGCAAGUUAUCCUCGGUCUCUUAGGUAUUGUGGCGCACCGACCAUUCAUUUACGACAUGUGGGAUAAUGAACCCAACGUCGAAGAUUCAUCCACACAUGAAUCUAAUCCUCUUUCCUUCCCCCAAUGAUAUAAUAACCAAUCAUGAUCAUAAUAACAAAUCAUCAUGAUCAACAUCAUCAUCAUAUUAAUAUAAAAACUCUUGCUUGACUAUAGCUAAUAAUCAUCAUAGCCAUUACCACCAACACUAUUUAAUCAUCAUUUUCGUCAAUGAGACAUCAUAUAACAAAAGUUGGUCACUAGUCAUAAUCACAACUCCUCCUCCCCAUCAUCAUCAACUAUAACAUAUUGUAGCACAUAAUAACACAUUGUCCCUAGGACCUACCCCUCUCUCAUAGGACUUACUCUACCCUCUCUUAGAUACAAUAUCAUAAAACAAGAUAGGCCCCGACUCUCCAUUAUGGAGAAUAGAGAUCAUCUUGUCUUCCAUUCUUGGCCUACGCACAAUGUUGCUUCCAAGCAGCUCUCUACGAUUGAUCAUACAUUUUUUUCAAUCUUUGUUUGUCAUUUCAUCGGUUUUAGAAAUCCGGUAUGGACAGGAGUGAUGCAAAUACCUAGGCUGACCUGGCCAUGCUGGUCGUAUGCUCAUAACAUCAACGCCACCUCUUGGAAACAUCAGAUGAGGCACACAAUCUUAUGGGAUUUUCUGUUGAAAAACAUAGUAUUAACUUUGUAGCUAGCAAUGUAAUUUAGUUUUACAAGAAUUUAUGCAAAAUAUGCACGGAUGUCGUAAUAGUAGAAAAUUUUACCAUGCAAUCUCCAUGCAUGUUACCGUAGUUCACCACGUUCACUAGUGGCACGUAUUGACCAUAAUGUAGGGGAGUUUGCUGAUAGGUAUUGUAAUUCUCAAGAUCAUUGAUAAAUGCGACAAGAUGAUGUUUCUCCUUAUAAGUUAAUUCUGCUUCAUCAUUGUAGUAAUAGGUUCUGUCUACCAUCUUUUGUACAUUUUUUGAAGAACGGAAAUAAGCCGUCAAAGGAAAUAAGUUGUCAACUAUUUUUAAAUAAACAAUAUAAAUUACUUAAUAAAUAUGGUUGAGAAAUUCACAUAAUGGUAGAACUGGAGUCGUCUGCACAUUGACCGAUAUAUCGAUAUUACCUUCAAUUUCAUCUUUUGAACGAAUAUUAAAGGUGAUAAGCAUAUUAGGCUCAAAUGCAUAAGCCUUGCAUAGUGCUACCCAAGUUUUGCUAUCAAAAAAGGAGUAGGUGUAUGCAUUGUACAACUUUACGGCAAAAGUAUAACUAUGCUCGGUCCUCAAGUGAACUAUCUUUACCUUCAUAGUAUUUUCAGUAUUGAAACCAAUCUUAUCCAAGACAUAAAUUCUUGCAUGGCAGGGAUACGCUAGUAGAAUAGUAAAAAAUAAAAAUUAUAAGUUGAAGCAAAAGAAGUCAUGCUUAAUUAUGAAAAAAGACUUGUCGUUGUGACUUACUGUAUCCACUUCGAAGUCCUGAUCCAACAUGAUGCUGAAGCGCCUAUCAUCAACUAGGUGAGGCGUGUCGCAUAGGCCGCGCUCGUCUUGGCAGUAUUCGCACAUAGCGAAUUUCCUGGUAUUUUUCAUGCUUUUACUGAUUUUUUGGAGCUAAAUGACCCAGAAAUUAAAAAGCACUACAAAUGAACUCUUAAUAGGUUGAAAGUUGGCAUGGUAUCAUCAUUUCAUCCACAUAGCAUGUGCUAAAAACUUGGCAGGGUUGCCGCAAAAACUGGAUGCACUUCGUGUACAAAUCAGACAAUCUCUUUCGAAGUAUGAGGGUUUCAUACGAAAACUCAUCCGUUACAAAAGGCAUUUCAUAUUUUUGAACUUAUUUCAUUUUUUCCACAUGGAUGCGUGUAUUAAAAAACCAUUACAACAUAUCAUGAAUAGAGAAGUGAUCAAAUUAAUAAAAAUUCAUCAUCACAUUAAAGCCAAAGUAUAGUAGUGACCAAAAUAAAUACAUAACGUUCUUACAUAGUUCUCAUUAUUGAACAACAUAUAGCUCUCUAGAGCAUCUAAUUAGAACAUACAUUGAAACUACUAAAUUUAAAUGCAACAAUAAAUGCGAUCAUAACCGUAACUAAGUUACAAAUUGAUCCAACGGCAUAAUGAUACCAAGCCUCAAUAUGAAUGACAUAUUUUCUAAUGUUUCUAAUCUUCAAGCGUAUUGCAUUCAUCUUGAUCUUGUGAUCGUCACGUACAUCGGCAACAUCUAACUCCAAUAUCAUCUUCUCCUCUUCAACUCUUUUUAUUUUUUCUUUCAAGUUACUGUUUUCUUUUUCAACCAAAUUUAACUUCUCGGCAAGAAUUUGUAUGUCGGUUCGAAUUUCUGGUUCACAUACCUCCUAUAUAUAAAAUCUAUGUCACGUUGGUCGGCAUAAUUUUCAUAAACACUAAAUAAAACAAAUAGUUAUAAAAGAUAAUAUAUACCAUAUCCGAAUCAUAGACAGGACGAGGGACGACGGAGACGGAUACCAAAACCAUCGCACUAUAUAAUAACAAACAAUAAUAGAAGUAAGAAAAUUACACAAGUAUCUAUCUAAAUCAUACAAGUAAGAACUUUUUUCUUUUAGAAAGAAGAUAAGAAGAAGAGACUAACCACGGUGGUGCCGACGUCGAGAUGGGCGCGGGCGAUCGACGGUGGUGAGGACGGGGACGGGACACGGACGGACCGCCAAAGCUACACAAAACUAGAGGAAAAUGGAGGUUGGACAAGGAGCUUCGAGAGGAGAAAGCUUAAGUAUGGCUUGGGCAUUUGAUCAAACACCUCAUGUGCAUAGGAGGUGAGCUAGAGCACCACAAAGAUCUUCCACGACCGGCCAAAAAAACAGAGCAGUGCACUGCUCUGCUCACGGUCGAGUGGUAUAUAUAGGCCAAGCAUUGGUGCCGGUUUGUGAACGAAACCGUGAGUGAAAGACAACAUUUGAUCCGGGAUCCAGCCAAAAACCGAGACCAAUUGUUGUGGGCCAGGAGCGAGACACAUUCGUCCCGGUUCGUGUCUAGAACCGGGACCAAAAGGGUCAAACAAACCGGGACCAAUGACCCACGAGGCAUGGCCGGCGCCCUGGCCUCACAAACUGGGACCGAUGCACCAUGGAUCCUGGUUCGUAAGUGAACCGGGACUAAUGAAAUUUCAUCAAGUAAACCAAAACUCUUUUUUCUUCUAGUGCACGAACCGUAGGGGACGUCCGUGUCUAUGUAGCCCACCCAAAUCCAAAUGCCAAAUGGACGAAAAAUGGCGUUGAAGUCGGCCUAAUCCUACUCAGUGACACUCGCUGGCGCGUGGCAAACUCAACUUGAAUAAUGCACGAAACGUGCAUUGUCCAGGAAAGAGCAGCGUCAGGGGCAACUUGUCUUUUUAAGUCAGUAAGUCAUCGCUAAUCACGCGGUAUCCGAGUUUUUUAUGCUUGUUUUGCCUAAUACAGUAGGUUGCAAAGUGAGUAUAUACUCUGCAAGCGCAGCGCAGGUUCGGCCGUGAUCCAAAGGUCAAACGAAACCUGCAUGCCGGAGUUAAUAUAGCCGGUUAGCAGCUGUGUAGUACGUAGAGUACUACUCAAUGAACAUGCCGGCGAGGACAGCACAUCAUGGCUGCAUAUGGAAUGGUUGUUGACGUUUUCCACUCAAUGGACAAGUCCGGCGAGGACAGCGAGGCGGAGGAACUGUUCCCAUGCAGCAUUCAACGGUCAACCUUGUCAUCACGGACACCGGCACCGCCAAAUCAGCACCUCUCGAGGCCGAUCAAACGGCUCAGACAAAGCGCAACUUGUCCCUCGACGAGAAGAGAGACAUGGGACAUGGCAUCAAACGUCGCCGCUCAGCCGCUUCAGCUCGUGCUGUACGCGCGCCCGCUCCGGUGGAAAAUCGCCUCCAUCGCAACAUGCGCCGCCCACGAAACGCGGCGUGCGGCGUGCCCAUACGUCGCUGUCCAUUGCCUUCGUCGUCGUCGGUCCCGGACGACCUAUAAAUAUGCCACCAGUAACCCAGCCGGAGAAGACAACACACGACGUACACGGCCAUCUCCCUAGUGACUAGUGCGAAAGGAAGAUGGCGACUAAACUCGCAGCGCUCAUCGUCUUGGCUGCGUUCCUCGCCGGGCCAGCGGCGUGCGAUGGCGCCAGCAUCUGCUUCAGCGGCUGGCUGAGGCUACCCACCUUCAACCCGCUGCUCUGUCGUCGCGGCUCCAGGAUGAACCGCCUUCCGCGGCAGCGGGGGCCCUCUCCCUCGGGGUUAGGGCUCAGCUACGGCUACUACGACAACAGGAGGUCGAGGUCGUACUGCCCCAGAGCGGAAGGGAUCGUGAGGGGUGCCGUGAGGGACGCCGUCGCCGCGUACCCUGGCAUUGGCGCGGGGCUCAUCCGUCUCUUCUUCCACGAUUGCUUCGUCCGGGUACACACACAGCUCGUUGGUUCUAGCUCAUAUAUACUUACUGCAUUGUCGUUCAAGAAGAUCAACAUGUUCAUUAUAUAUAUUCAGGGGUGCGAUGCUUCCGUCCUCCUCACUACGACCAACUCCAACAACAGCGACACGGAGAGGGAAGGCCCUCCCAACAAGAACAGCCUCCGAGGGUUCGAGGUGAUCGACGCGGCCAAGGCGGCGAUCGAGGCCGCCUGCCCCGGCACAGUCUCAUGCGCCGACAUUGUCGCCUUCGCUGCCCGCGACGCGUCCUACUUCCUCAGCAACCGCAGGAUCAACAUCCGGAUGCCGGGCGGCCGCUACGACGGGCGCGAGUCCUUCGCCAACGAGACAGACCAGCUGCCCGGGCCCUUCUCCAAUGUCACGGAGCUCCAGGCGAGUUUCGCGGCCAAGGGGCUCACCUCUGACGAGAUGGUCGUGCUCUCCGGUGCACACACAAUCGGCCGCGCCCGCUGCAUGUUUUUCUCCAGCCGUCUCCCUGAGAUGGACCCGGCAUUUGCCGCCAAGCUCAGGGCCCAGUGCAACGGCAACGACGACACCAACGUAAACCAAGACGAUGUGACCCCAAACGUCCUGGAUAAGCGGUACUACCAGAACGUGAUCGACAGGAAAGUGUUGUUCACCUCAGACGCCGUGCUCAACUCGACGGAAACGAUGAUGCAGGUGAGAGAAAACGCGAACAGAGCAGGAGCGUGGGAGAGGAAGUUCGAGAGAGCAAUGGAGAAUAUGGGAAAAAUCGGGAUCAAGACCAGAGGCGACCAGCAAGGCGCAGAGAUCAGGAAGGUAUGCUCCAGAGUGAACAACUAACGUCGGCUAGUAGUAAUGCGGGGUCGUUGGCUGGCUCCAUGGUGGGAUCCCCCUAUGGACGAGAUGUAACUUCGUCUAGUAUCUACUGUCAUUGUUGGUUUUCUCAUACAAAAGCUCGGUGUGUAUGUUCAUGUACGACUUUUUUUCUGGUUAUUUCUACCGAUUACUCUAGGAGCAUAAAAAAGUCAAAUGUAUUGUUUCUUAACACGGUAUCAUAGGUGCAUUAAAAAUUUAAGAACCUACUUGUCCAAUGUAUUAUCUAUUCGAGGUUGUAUCUAAAUUUAAUGAUAUGAUGCUCGUGCAUGUAUAUGAUUGGACAAUUAGCUAUUUUUGCCUAUAAUAACAUGUAAAGAUUGUACUCCCACCGUCCAGGUGUAUAGAACGUGCGCGUAGUUCUAGGUCGUUAAUUUAACUACUUAAAUAUGUAUUAUAUGUAGUAGAUAAUAUACCAUUAGAUUCAUGCGGGGAUGUAGUUUCUGAAUAUGUAAUUUUUAUCGUAUAUAAUACUCCAUUGACAACCUAAAACUACGCACAUAUCCUAUACACUUGGACGGAGGUAGUACUAGUUGCUAAGAUACAACCCCACCCUCUCUUUUCAUUAAAUAGUGUGACACAUAAGUAAAUUACCUAUGAAACCGUGCUAAGAAACCCCAUUAACAUAGGCUUAAGGUGACCGGUUAGGUUUCAAUCGUCGGUCACCUUUUGGUAGCAAGGGGAUAUACGUUCCACAAGUUGUGCUAAUUACUUCACUUAGCUAGCUAGGUAGUACUCCCUCUGUAAACNNNNNNNNNNNNNNNNNNNNNNNNNNNNNNNNNNNNNNNNNNNNNNNNNNNNNNNNNNNNNNNNNNNNNNNNNNNNNNNNNNNNNNNNNNNNNNNNNNNNNNNNNNNNNNNNNNNNNNNNNNNNNNNNNNNNNNNNNNNNNNNNNNNNNNNNNNNNNNNNNNNNNNNNNNNNNNNNNNNNNNNNNNNNNNNNNNNNNNNNNNNNNNNNNNNNNNNNNNNNNNNNNNNNNNNNNNNNNNNNNNNNNNNNNNNNNNNNNNNNNNNNNNNNNNNNNNNNNNNNNNNNNNNNNNNNNNNNNNNNNNNNNNNNNNNNNNNNNNNNNNNNNNNNNNNNNGUUUACAGAGGGAGUACUUCCUUUAUCACGGUUUAGAAGGCAUCCUUUAAAUUUCAUGCAUUUCUAAAAUGAAGAAGGAUCAAGGCGUGUUUUAUUUAUUGCCUACUAGUAGUAUAUCAUAAUGAGUAAUUAGGAGUAUUACUACUAUUGCAUGCAGCUGUGUGAACGUUGGGAGGAAUUGGUUUCACUGUGCAUGCAUGAGUAAACAAAGAAUAGAUGGAUCACGAUAGGUAGAUGGAUAAGAACAUGCACAUGAAUGCAUGCGCCAAUCGGUCCAUGAACUAUGCUUUCAAUUCCACAUGCAUGCACGUCCGUAUCACUGUGCAGCGUUCAAAAAAUAUCAUAAUUAAGACAUUACAAAUAGAUUGGUAUCAAGAUGGAUAAUUUUUACAUGUCAUUAUUAAAUCUGGGACAAGACAUUAUAAAAAGAUCUAAAUCACAUAUAAAUACAAAUACGUAUUGAUAAUGUAUUUGACCAACGGAGUCUGUCUGUCAGAUGUCGAUGUGACACGUUUUUAACAGAAACCCCCUUUUUAUACUUCAUCAAACAAAUGCCCUUUAUUUUUGCAUAAAAAAAUAUCCUCUGAAAGAUUUUUUUCGUCCAGAAUUUUUCAAAUGCGGCGCCGAGCCACCACGCCACGAAGGGGCUGGCGUUACAGAAGGGCGGGACGUCCUUCCUUUAUACUCGCGUGGACAUGCUAGGCCGGCUGCUUGGGCUUAGCAAGGCUGCACGCGCUGAAUUACUAUUAAAAAUAUUUAUAUGUAACUUUUAAAUUACGCAAUUAUAAAAAAACGCAUAUAACCUGCGGUAAUCGAUACAUAUACUGUGUAUCUUCAUUAUAUUAUUGAAAAAUGCAAAACUAAUAAAAAUAUAUGCCCAACAAACAUUUUUUCUUUUAGUUACUCCUAUAUUGAUUGUAUUUUUAGAAACACACAUGUACUUAAAAAGUUGAUGAAACAUAUUAAAAAUAUUUGUGUUGUUACAAUAAAUUUUAGAAAUGCAUUAAAACUGUUCAACUUUUAUUUUAAAAAAGGUGUUUCUUGAAAUGCAAAACGAUUUUACACAAUAAUAUGUAAAAAUUUCAUCAUAUUUUAAGAAUAUUGCUUAUUAUUUUAGAUAUAAUUGUAUAAUCAACUAUUCAAAAAAAAUCAUCAUAUCUACAUUUGUCAACAUUUUUUGAAAUAAACAUUGACAAAACAAAAAGUUCACCGUGCACUAUUUAAAAUGUCUAUCAUAUCUUAUUAAAUUGUUCAACAUAUGUUACAAAUUUUGUCAAUUUGCAUUUAAAAUAUGUUCAUCGUAUAUUAAAAAAUUAUUAUAUUAAAAGUAUGUUCAACGUUUGUAAAAAGAACCUGUGCAACGAACAAGCCCCAGUAAAACGCGAAACAGAAAAACAUAGUAGGCCUCGGAGGUACCAAUUACCGCCCAUCUAUCUAUUAACAUCUAAAAGAAACCACGCAUGUGUUCUACCACGAGUGUCUCUGUGGCGUGGUGGCUAGGUCGUUGUGCCUUUCCUGUGUACAUCGGGAAUUUGAUACCCCUGAACGAUGGUUUUUGUUUCUUUAACUUAAUUGUUCAAUUCGAUGAAAAAUCAUUCAAAAGAGUCCCAUUAUGUGUUGGAAAAUUACGAACGGGGAUUUUUUUUCUUUCAUAGGAUCAUUUUUCCUGUGAAAAUAACAUGCAUUUAUAUGAUUACGUAUAAAGUAAAGGGUUUUUUUGCAAAAAAACUUGCCACGUAGGCACUUGACAAGAGGGUCUUAUUGGUGAGAUACACCAUCAAUACGUAUUUAUACGCGGUUUAGAUCAUUUUGUAACGGUUUGCCCCAAACUUGAUACUAAAAUGUAAAAACUACCAAUGUUGAUACCAAUCUGCUAGUAAUGCCUUAAUUAUGGUACUUUUAUGCAAUUAACUCCACUAUGCAUGGUGAGUUCACUAUACUCCCUCUCUAAAUUAAUAUAACAACGUUUCGAUCAUUAAAGUAGUGAUCUAAAUAUUCUGAUAUUAGUUUACGGAGGGAGUAUGUAACAAGGGGAAAAUACACAACGGUUGUCGGGGACAUAUGUCCCCGGAAUCUCAUGAGUCAUCCGAACAUGCCUAUUAUUAUAGUUCAUACGACUCGUGCAUAUUGUUUAUUUCUUUGUCCUAGCUUCCGUCGUAUUUGAUUCCUUUGCUCAUGUCACUCGUGUGUGUCCAGCCUCUCAUUUAAUCAACUACUUCUCCUAGUUGUCUCUUUCCUGUGUCUUGUAUCACUACACACGCUUCCUUCGUACGCAGUGUAUCUCUUUUGACACAUUAUGUUUUGCGUGCAUAGUUUGCUUGUCUUCGUAUUUUCAUAACUUAUAUUGAGUGAUAUAAAUUAUGAAAAUGAAAUAAUACAGUAGGCAUCAUGUAAGAACAAUUAUGAAUCUGGUCUUGGCAUUACUUAAGUGAAUGAUCUAUAUUUAUCAUUCUAACCCAUCUCACAAAAUUUCGUUAAGUUUUGUGUGAUUGAAGUUUUCAAGUUUUGGAUAAGAUACCAAUAUGAGGAGAAUAAUGAGCAGCAAGAUCCUAAGCUUGGGGAUGCCCAUGGCACCCUCAAGGUAAUAUCCAAGGAAGACUCAAGUAUCUAAGCUUGGGGAUACCCGGGUAGACAUCCCCUCUUUCAUGUCCAACAUUAUCACUAUAUCUUACUUGGAACUAUAUUUUUAUUCAUCAUAUGAUAUGUGUUUGGUUGCAACGUCAUUUUAUUUUGUUGUUCUCUGUUACUUGUUAUUUAUAAUCUUGUGUUUCAAUAAAAAAGUUUCAAGAAUUGUCUUUAGACUGCUUGAAUUGCAUGUGCGAUGUGUGUUAUACAAAAAUAGAAACUUGUUCUGUAGUAUUUGAAUUAUCAUAUUUUAUUGGAACGAGAAAAGUUUCUGAAACUUUUACACAGUACUUUCAUACAAAUUAUUUAUCAUGUCCAAAAUUUCAGAAUUUUUGAAGAUACAUAAGUACACUUUAUAUAUAUAUUGCUGCAGACUGUUCUGUUUGGAUAGAUUGCUAUCAUAGUUUUGUUAUCUACUUAUUCUAGAGUUUUCAUAGCUUAUAUUAGUGGAUAUAAUUUUUUUAAAUGAUACUAUACAUUACCUAAUGUUUGAAAAUUAUUAUGAAACUUGUCUUGCUAGUACGUGAAGUGUUGAUUUAGUUUAAUGUGUACUAACCUAUCUCAUGAGUUCUUUUCAAGUUUUUGUGUGGAUAAAUUUUGUGAGACUUAGAUGAAACCAUGAUAUGAGAGGAUUCAACGGAAUGGAAAAGCUCAAGCUUGGGGAUGCCCAAGGCACCCCAAGUAAAUAUUUCAAGAAGUCUCAAGCAUUUAAGCUUGGGGAUGCUACGCAUCCCACCUUUCUUCAUCAAUAACUAUCGGUUAGCCUAUGUUGAGUCUAAAUUUUUAUUUGUCCACAUAAUAUGUGCUAUUCUUGGAGUUUCUUUUGUUUUAUUUGUUGUUUGAAAUAAAAUAUCAGAUCAAAAAAUAUUUAUUGAGAGAGAGUCCUCACAUAGCUACUUAAUUGUUUGAUUACUCAUUGAUCUUCAAUUAUAUCUUUUGAGAGUAGUUUGAUUGAAUUGCUUUAGUACUUCACUUAUAUCUUUUGCACAUACAUAAGUACACUUUUCAUAUAUCUUUUUUAUCUUCACUUAUAAGUGAAGCAAGAGAGGAUUGAAUUGCUCUACUAUCUCACUUAGGCAAGAAAUAUGCUCUCAUGCUUCACUUAGAUUAUUUUGUGAGUUAGUAGAAACUUUGAAGAAAUCCUCUCUUGCUUCACUUAUAUAAUUUUAAGAGUUGAAAAUUUUAAAGAAACUUGUGCUCUCGUGCUUCACUUAUAUUUGUUUGAGAGCUUGUUAUUAGCAAUGGCAAUUUGCUUCAAAUGAAAUUGGUCCCAAAGUGAUGAAUAUCCAAGAAGGAUAUGAUAAAAACAUCCAUAUAGAUCAUUGGAUAUGAUAAGUUUGAUUCUUUGCAAUAGUUUUGCGAUAUGGUGAUAUUAAUAUAUGAGUCGUGUUGGUGAGUAAUUAUGCUUAGUAAGAAUAUUGGUGUUAAGGUUUGUGAUUCCCUAUACAUGCACAUUAAUUAAAUAGUUAUGGUAUGAAGUUACAUCCUACUUGUGUUGCAUUAUUCGGUGUUAGUUAUGUUUAAUGUUAGCUUAUGAUGGUUUUCGUUCCUUGGUUGGGCCCUUCUCAGUCUAUUUUCUAGCCUUCACUUGUAAUAAGCGGGAAUGCUGCUUGCACAUUCAAAUCCUAAACCCAAAGUUGUGCCAAAUGAUUCCACCAUGCCUACCUAUAUCCGGUAUUUCAGUGUUGUUCUAAGUAAAUUUGUAUGUGCCAACUCUAAUAUUCAAAAUAAACUUCUGUUUUGUGUGCCCGUACCAUUCAUGAAGCGGCGAGGGGUGGCCGAUAUCUUUCAUGUUAAAUAGGUUGUUCUCAAGAUGAAUGUUUAUUUACUUGUCAUUGCACGAGAGUAUGGCGGUAAUAGGGUUGUCUAGUCCCUAAAUGCAAAGAAAUUUAUUUUAUGUUGUCAAUUCAUAAAUUCCUUGGAAAGUGAUGGUAUGGACGGUACCCGUGGAUGCGGCUAGCCAUGUAGUGUGAAAGAAUAGUGGAAAAAGGAAUAAACUUUAUUUUUAGUUUGAGAACCGCCUAUGAUUUGUUUAGCAUGGAAGAUAUUGGGAACUCUUAGUCGUUUUCGUUGAUAGGAAAAGCAUGCCACCCAAAAUAUUUUAUCUCUCAAUUUUUUUGCGUCGAGCUCUCACACCGCUAAAAAUCUCUGCUUCCCUUUGUGAAGGGCCUAUCUAUUUACUUUUAUGCAUUUUUUAUUUUUAUUUGAGUCUCCAUCUUCUCUUAUAAAGAACCAACUACGGAACACUGUUAUCAUACUUGAGCAUUGGAUGUAGCUAAUAUUUGGGUGUGUUGCAUGAACGGAUCAAUGAUUGAGCAUGAUGGGCUAGGGAUAGCGUUCUUUAGCAUUGAUAUUUUGAAAGACAUUUUUGCUUGUUGAUAUGCUUGAGUAUUAAAGUUUUCAUGUCCAAUUAUAGACUAUUGAUUUGAUUCAUUCAAGUCCAAAUGUCCAUACUACAAAAGAAAAUAGUAUAUGAUGAAUAUGAUAGGUAGCAUUCCACAUCAAAAAUUACGUUUUCAAUUGCUACUUUAUCAUGAUGAGUUUUAUAAGAAAGAGUUGUUGUUAUGAUGUUACGAAAAGUGAUUGAAAUUAUCAUUGACCAAACUUAUGCACUAUGCUAGCAUUCACACUUCAUAAAGUAUUUCUUUUAUCAUUUACCUACUUGAGGACGAGUAGGAAUUAAGCUUGGGAAACCUGAUAUGUCUCCAACGUAUCUAUAAUUAUGAAGUAUUCAUGUCAUGUUUACAACAAUUUUAUAUAGUUUUGGUAUGAUUUGCAUGGAACUAACCCGCAUUGACAUUGUUUUUAGCAGAACUGUCGUGGUGUUGUUUUUUAUGUAGAAAUAGAAGUUCUCGGAAUGCAACGAAACUUUUUGACGAUUUUUCGGAAUAAAAGAGGCACCAGAAGUUUCUUGGGAGGACCAGAAAGUGAAGGAGGUGGCCACUACCCACCAAGGCACGCCAUAGGCCUUGCCCGUGGGCUGGUGGGUAGUGGGAACCUCAUGGGCCAUCUUGGCACGAUUCCAACGCCCAAAAUCCUAUAAAUAUACAAACCCCCAUAAAUAACCCUAGAUGAGAAGUUCCGCCACAGCAAGCCUCUGUAGCCAUGAAAAACCAAUUGGGAGCCCGUUCCGGCACUCUGUCGAAGGGGGAGAUCAUCACCGGAGGCCAUCUUCAUCAUCCCUGUGGCCACCAUGAUGAGGAGAGAGUAGUCCACCCUCAGGGCCGAGGGUUUAUACCAGUAGCUAUGCGCUUAAUCUCUCUCUCUAUCUCGUGUUCUUGAGAUGUCAUGAUCUUUAUGUAUCGCGGGCUUUGUUAAUAUCGUUGGAUCAUAUGGUGUUUCUCCCUCUCUAUCUUGUUGUGAUGAAUUGAGUUUUCCCUUUGAGAUUAGUUUUAUCGGAUUGAAUAUUUUAUGGAUUUGAGAGCACUUGAUUUAUGUCUUCCUAUGAAUACCCAUGGUGACAAUGGGGUAUCAUAUUGAUUAACUUGAUGUUUGUUUUGGUACUCGACUUGUGGAUUCCCGCGGCGACACUGGGGUAUUCUAUGCAUAGGGGUUGAUGCACGUUCUCUUCUUUGUUUCUCCGGUAGAAAUCUUGGGGAACUCUUUGAGGUUUUUUGUGUUGGAUUGAGUAUUAUGAAUCUGAAUUUGUUAUGGUGGUAUUUUAGUAUGAACUCUUGGAUAGAUCGAUCGGAAAGGAUAGCUUGUUAUUUUAGUACGAACUCUUGAAAAGAUUAAUCGGAAAGAAUAACUUUGAGGUGGCUUCGUACCCUACAAACAAUUCUUCUUAUGUUCUCCACUAGAUAGGAACUUUGGGGCGAUUCUUUAUCGCACAUUGAGGGAUUGUUGUGUGAUCCAAUUAUAUUAGCAUUGUUGAGAGGUUGCACUAGCGAAAGUACGGACCCUGGGCCUCAUUUCCAAGCAUUGCAAUACCGUUUGUGCUCACUUUGUUACUCGUUACCUUGCCGUUUUUCAUUGUUACUAUUACAAAAAUCAAUAUCUACUAUCAUUACUACAAAAGUUGUGAGAAUCGAGAUUCUAAAUCGGAUCGAAGCUCCAUUGGUAGGAUCAUGAAUUGCAGAAUCAUAACUAUUAAGAUCGUAGAAACUUAGAUUCUAUGAGCAAAAUCAUAGAAUCAGAGGGUCUAGUUUGGAUCUAAGGUCGUAAGAUUCCAAGACUUGAGUCGUGAUUCUGACAACUUGGAUUACUACACUUGUAUCACCAUCUCUUCGACGAACUAGCGCAUCUAUACAAAUUACCAUUUUAUUUGGUGUGUUGGGGGCACAAGAGACUUUUUAUUAUUUGGUUGGAGGAUUAUUUUAGAGAUACCAUGUUUAUCCUACGCAUCCCAUGAAUUGAUAAACCUUUGUUCAUCCACUUGAGGGAAAAAAUUUACUGUCCUACAGAACUCUGCGCUUGGAGGCCCAACACGGGUCUACAAGAAUAAAGUUGCGUAGUAGACAUUAGAGCUGCACGAGGAGCCAACAAGGCAACAAGGUGUGCACAGGGGGGUCAAGGCGCCCUGAUGCCUUGUCGAAUCCCUAUGGACCCUCUUGCCCCAUUGUUUGCCCUAUAAAUUCUCUAAUAUUUCAAAAACCCUAAAGGCAUCCAUGAAACACUUUUAUACCACCGCAAGUCUUUGUUCCACUGCGUUCCCAUCCGGAUAUUUGUUCGGGCACUCUGCCGGAGGGGGUCGAUCACGAAGGGCCUCUUCAUCAACCUCGGUGUCCUCGUGAUGAUGUGUGAGUAGUUCACCUCAGACCUACGGGUCCUUUGCUAGUACCUAGAUGGCAAUCUCCCUCUAUCUUGAUCUUCAAUACGAUGAUCAUCGCAUCUUCGCUUUGAUCUAUCCGAUGUAAUUCUUUUGAAUGGUGUGUUUUUUGGGAUGCGAUGAAUUGUGGUUUUAUGUGCAGAUUAUUCAUGAAAAUUAUUUGAGUCUUCUCUGGAUUAUUAUUUCUCUUAUUUGCAUGAUCAUCAUAGCUUCGUAAAUCUAUCUGAUCUAUUGAAUUGCUUUGGCCAAAUAGUUUGAUCUCUUUUUAGUGGUAGAUGUGCGUUGUAGUGGGUUCAACCUCAUGAUUUUCUAUAUCCCAUCAACAGAAGGGGACAAGCUGCAUCUUUGUGUUGCUGCCACUAAGGAUAAAACAAUGGGGUUUAUUCAUAUUGAUUGAGCAUUACUCUGUUUUACUUAAUACUCUAGAUGCAUGCUGGAUAGCGGUCGAUGGGUGGAGUAAUAGUAGCAGGUGCAGGCAGGAGUCGACCUAUUUGUUGAUGGAUGUGAUGCCUAUAUGAUCAUUUCCAUGAAAAUCGAAUAACUAUCUGUUGUUCUAUCAAUUGCCCAACAGUAAUUUCUUUACCCACCAUAUGUCGCUUUUAUAAGAGAUGCCACUAGAAUACACUAGGGCCCCCGGUUCUAUUCACUUAUAUAUUCAGAAAACUUAUAUUUCCUUGCUGCCUUAUUUUAUCUUUUAUUUUCGUUAUUAUUCUCAACAAUUAUGUACACAACUCACUUGCUUGCAAAUAACAAGAACAAGGGCAUUGACAACCCUCUUGCCCGCGUUGGGUGCAAGUUGUUUGCUCUUUUGUGUGUAGCCGCUGAAGGCGGUUGAGGAUUAAUAUUCCUAUUGGUUUGAUAAACCUUGAUUUUUUAAUUGAGGGAAAUACUUACCUGCAUUGUGUUUCGAUAACCCGUUCCUCUUCAGGGAAAACCCAACGGAUAUCACAAGCAUCACUGAUCGCUAGUAUUAAGGCCAUGGAUGCUACCAUGGAUUCAGUAGGCCUUGAUGAGGGUUGGUGGGCCCACCGUUACGAGCUUAAGGAGGCCUUGCCUGGGCUCCAUAAGUUAGAAGAGAUGUAUUGGCAACAACGUGGUCACACUUCUUGGUUGCUCAAAGGAGAUUCAGUCACGGCCUAUUUUUUAGCAGUUGCGAAUGAGUGUCAUAGGGGAUGCUUUAUUCUUAGGCUUUGUAUCAAUGGAGAGGUGGUGGCCAAUCGAGAGAUCAUUAGGAGCCAUAUCCUCUCCUAUUUCUCGGACCUCCUAGCUGCCAAACCCCCUACAAACAACGCAGUGCUUAUGUUACCUCUCUCCCAUGAUGAUAUGUACUUAGUGGUCUCCUCGUCCAAAUCCAGCUCUUCUCCUGGCCUGAUGGGCUCUCCUUCUCCUUCUUCAAAAGAAUUUGGUCGGUUCUGAAGCAUCUCGUCUAUGCUAUCAUCUCAAGUUUUUGUUUGGGGACAGUUGACAUUUCGAGACUCAACUAUGCGGUUAUCUCCAUUCUCCCAUGGUCAAAGGGGCACACUCCAUUAAACUAUUUAGACCUAUUGCCCUUAUUAAGAAAAUUUCAAAGUUUCCUCCUAAGGUUUCAACACUCACAUGUCCCCGACGGCCCAUAAGGUCAUUGGAUAACAACAAUCUUCUUUUAUCAAGGGGCAUUACAUUUUAGUUGGGUUCCUCCGCUUGCAUGAAAUCAUUCAUGACCUAAAGUCUAGUAAGUGCAGUGUAGUGGUGCUGAAACUGGACUUUGAGAAGGCUUACGACUUGGUUAAUUGGUCCUUUCUUCAAGAUGUCCUGUUGGCCAAAGGAUUUGGCAGGGCAUAUGUUCGCCGGAUUAUGCAACUCGUUUGUGUGUGGGGGGCACACUGCGGCUUCUGUCAAUGGGGGUGGUAAGCCCUUCUUUAAGAAUGGUAGGCUCCCCCGCCAGGGUGAACCUACCUCUCCCCUCCUCUUUAAUUUUGUGGUUGGUGCUUUCUCUUAUAUGUUGAAUCAGGCGGCGGUGGCGAGACAUAUCCUUCUAGUCUCUUCUAAUCUCAUUCCUUCUGGUGUGACUCAUUUUCAUUAUGUCGAUGACACUAUUAUCCUUGCUGAGAAUUUUGAUCGGUAUCUAGCUGAGGUGAAAUUCCUCCUUCUUUGUUUUCAGGAGAUGUUAGGGUUUAAUAAUAUUUUUUCUAAAAGUGAAGUCCACGUUUUGGGUGCUCCUCUUGAGGAGGCUUCGUGUGUGGCUACUCUCCUAGAUUGCUCCCUUGGUUCCUUCCCCUUCAAAUACCUUGGGAUGCCCAUUUCCCCCUUUAAGCUUCUUUCUAAGGAUUUCAACUUCUAGGUGUCUAAGGUGGCCAAUAGAGUUAUGCCGUGGAGGGGCGUUCUAACUCUACUGCAGGGCGGGUGUGCCUUGACAAUGCUUGUCUAUCUUCCCUGCCUAUGUUCCUCAUGAGUUUUUACCAUCUCCCGGAAAGCAUUCACACUGGUUUUGAUAAGCACAUGAGUGGCUUUUACUGGAACAUGGCAGACAAUAAAAGGAAAUACCGCCUGGUAAAAUGGAAACUGAUGUGCAAGCCUAAGAGGGUUGGGGGUUUGGGGAUCCUCUAGACUUCCAUCAUGAACAAAUGUCUGAUACUCAAGUGGUGGUGGCGCAUCAUGUCCUCUUCUGCCGAUACCCUAUGGUUGUGUAUUCUUAAAGCCAAAUAUUUUCCGCUCUCCUCCUCCCUUAUGUGUAACCUGUGAGUGGUGCCUCUGUGUCUCAGUUUCGGUGACACAUGCUUUCUGUCUGUGAUGAUUUUCAUGCUUUGGUGAAGUUUUCAGUUGGCAACAGAGCUACGACCAAAUUCUGGUUAGAUUGGUGGAUUGGGAGGGGCCCUUGCGGAUUCAUUUCAUGUGCUUUUUUUCUUUCAUUUCUGUUCCUUAGGCCUCCAUUGAGGAGCUCGAGGAUAGGGGUUGGGUCUUUGGCUUUCAUCGGGUCUUGUCUCCUACAGAGUUGGAGGAUUGACAUCAUCUUGUUGCUCUCCUCCCCUCACUCUCGAUGGCUCAGGAUGCGGUCCUCUUUCCGCAUUCAGCCUCUGGUCUUUUUUCUGGUAAGUCUUGCUAUCAUAUCUUAUCGGUUGGCACUAUGGUGCCAAAAAUCAAUCAUGUUUUGGUGGCUCGGGUGCCCCUGAAGAUCAAGAUUUUCAUGUGUCGGGCCCUAAGGGGCUGGCUUCCGGCUGCAAAGCAGAUUAAGAAAAGGCGUGGUUUGGGUUCUAAAUUCUAUGCCCUUUACGGACAACCUGAGGAUACUAGUCAUAUUUUGUUCCAUUGCCCCUUGGCCCUAUUGUUUUGGAGUUUGUCUCACAGAGUGGUUGCGUGUAGGUCUUAGGUUGUGGCUAGUUUUGAUGAGUUGCGGCCGCUUGGGUCAUCCCUUUUCGGCCAAACAAGGAGGUUAUUUUGGUUUGGCUCUCAACCAUGUGUUGGACCCUUUGGACAACCAAAAAUAAAUUUACUAUCGAAUAGGUGUUUCCGAACAUGGCGGUUGACUGUAUUUUCAAAUUUUCUAUCUAUUUGAAGUAGUGAAAAUCUGUGAUUAAAGAUGGACACAAGGUGGUUGUGGAUCUCCUCAUCUCUCGUGUUCAUGUUUUGGCAGCUGUCAGGCUGGCCAUAGUGGGAAGUAACAUAUAGUAGUAUCAUGCAUAUGAUAUUAUUGUAUGAUACUGCUCCCUCCAUUUCAGUUUAUAAGUUCGGCACGUGUAUCUAGGUCGUCAAUUUGACCAACUUAAUGAUAAUCAUAUAUUACAAAAAAUAUAUCAUUAAAAACUUUAGAUGUUCUAUUUUUAUAAUGAUAUAAUUUUAUAUUAAACAAUAGAUUUUAUAUACUUCCUCCAUCAUAGUAUAUUGGGCGUAUCUCAUAGGGCUCUCGGACCGAGAUGUUUUUCUAUUGGUAGGAAAAACCGAGCCGACGAGCUGUAAAAGCGCCUAAUUAAUCGCAAAACUGACGCAUUAGUAACCCCCCGUCCACUAAACGAGCAACUUCCUCGCAUGCAUUGGUGGAGAUGGUUUUCAAAACACCCCAAUUAAUAGGCUAAUUAAUGCCAUGCGUCUUAUUUCCUUCUAAUUGUGAAAAAUUGUCGUUUUGGAGAUACGCCCAAUAUACUAUGAUGGAGGGAGUAAGUUAAAUUGACGAUCCAGGUACACGUGUGUGCCUUAUAAACUUUGACGGAGGUUGAAAGGAUCAAUAUGGUUGACUAGAGGGGGGUGAAUAGGCAACUACCAAUUUUUAGCUUUUUUAAAUAAAUAAGGAGUAGCAAUCAUAAAGGUUCACUAACAUGACACUAGGAGGACAACCUAUAUGAUGCUACUUAUCAACGAGUAAAUAAGAAUGUAGGAGCUACUCUACAAUACCAAAAAAUACAAAGUAAAGGUAAGAGAUAACCACAAGUGGAACCGAUGAAGACGAGGAUGUGUUACCAAAGUUCCUUCCCUUUGACACGAAGUAUGUCUCCGUUGGAGCGGUGUGGAGGCACAAUGCUCCCCAAUAAGCCACUAGGGCCACCGUAUUCUCCUCACGCCCUCGCAUAAUGCAAGGUACCGUGAUUCCACUAUAGGUGCUCUUGAAGGCGGCGAUAGAACCUUUACAAACAAGGUUGGGGCAAUCUCCACACAAAGCUUGGAGGCUCCCAACAAGACCACGGAGCUUCACCACAACGGAAUGUGGCUCCGAGGUGACCUCAACCGUCUAGGGUGCUCAAACACCCAAGAGUAACAAGAUCCGCAAGGGAUUAGUAGGGGACAUCAAAUAUCCUUUGGUGGAAGUGUAGAUCAAGGCCUUCUCAAGCAAUCCCUAGAAAAUCAACAACGUUGAUUGGCUAGGGAGAGAGAUCGGGAUAAAAUGAGCUUGUGGAGCAACAAUGGAGCUUAGAGAGGUUAAAGGUGGGAUCUAGGAAGAAGAAGAUGCAUUUAUAUAGUAGGGGAGGCAGAUCCAACCGUUACCCACCUACCACAUAAAUGCACGAGCGAUACUACUGCUUCCCAGAGCGGUACUACCGCUCCUGGGAGCGGUACUACCGCUCAGCUCCUCACCAACCACGGUAGUACCAGGGUACUACCGUGCCACCACCUCCGUGGGAAAGUAUGCGAGAAAAAGCCCGUCGGUGCGGUAGUAAAUUAAUACUACCGCACUAAGGGCGGUAGUACCGCCCUUGGAGCGGUAGUAAAAACUACUACCGUUCUUCGGGCGGUAGUACCGCUCCUGGAGCGGUAGUAAAAGUUUACUACCGCACGUGGGAAGGUUGUACCGCUCCUGGAGCGGUAGUAAAAAUUUACUACCGCUCUGAGAGCGGUACUACCGCUGGUACAGCGGUACUACCUCUUACCCUUUUUCGUAUAGGCAAGGAAACACACAAUGGUGCUCCAUUGAAGCUAAAAUAUGGGUGGGUGCAUGAGGUGUGUGCGUGAGGAUUCCACCCAAACCUUUCCGACGCGGACCCCCUCUUGGUAAGACGACUUUCCUAUGACUCAAACUAGGAAGAGAAAUGUAGAAGAAAAUCCGUCUUCGAGAACCUCCGAGGGGCGUCGAGUCAUCUUGUUCCUAGAAGAGAAUAUUCUGAAAUGCUCAGGACACAGGAUUAGUUCGCACAACAAUUGUCAUCAAUCACUAAAACCACUUAGGAGAAAUAUGCCCUAACAAUCUCCCCCUUUUUGGUGGAUUGAUGACAAUGUUGGAUUUGCACAGAAAAAUAGAGAUAGGCAUAUGCAAACUCCAAAGAUAUCACCAGGGGGCUAGUUUCCUCUGGGUAUGUGCAUACCAACAACUAACCACAGAGAGAACACUCCCCCUAGAUUAUAUAGACUAAGCCAUCCUUACUACAUACGUACGAGGGAUGAAGAAUAUUGAAGCAUGGCAAAGCAUGUGAGCAAAGGUAUACUGGCACAAGAUACUAUGUCUCACAGGUUAAUAAUAAUAUGGAUAAAACUGAUAAUACUGAGACAAAAGAUAAGGAAGAUAAAACAUAUAUCUCACAUUAAGAUAGGAUCUGAUGACUCAGUCUCAACCAUAAAGCAAAAGCAGCGAACGAAAGCAACAAAGUUUUAUCAAACCAAUAGACCAGAAAAACUAGAAAACGAGCAAAUCCUACACUCUCUCCCCCUUUGACAUCGAAACACCAAAAAGGAAGAGAGGAGCCCUUCGACCCAGGUGGUAGAAACAUCAGUCGGUGUCCUCCUCAUCACGAUACUCCUCAUCUGAGUCAUCGUCGAUGUCCUCCUCAGAUGCAGCCCACUGAAGUCGAUGCUUCACCAUCCAUUCAGCCUUAGGGGUGAUCUCACGCUCAGAACCGCUGGAGAAGGGCAGGUCAAGCUUCCUCAUGAUCAAUUUGUCAUGCUGGCGACUCUCCUUCUGAGCAACAUGUGUUCUGUACUGGCCCUUGGCCUGCAUACAGAACAGGGUCUUCAUCCUAUCCGUGAGCCGUGUGGGCCAUGAUGGUUCCGCAGAUGUGUGGGAACCCUCACCCUGUCGAUGAGCCUCUGGAGGAGCCUCAUCCUCAGCGUCUGGAAGAUUGUCAUCAGAAUCCCUUGGGGCAGCCGGACGAGAGGAGGUGUUGGCCCAUUUGUCCUUCUGACGCAGCUUGAUGGGCUCAUGGAGGACCCAAUGAGGAGCAAGAAACUCAGCACCGGGGAAGGUCUUGGUCCAAGUGGCCUUGAUAAAGUAGAAUAGGUAGGGACCGUAGAUUGGGACCUUAUGGUUAAUGACUGCAGAGUAGAGCUCAGUCCACAUGACAUGAGAAACAUCAAGGGGCUGACACUGACGAUUCUUCGCUUUCUGACACAUGAGAAGCAUGUCUACCAGGUAAGAGUGCACUUGGUCCUUGUUGCCAACCCUGGUAAACAACGUGUUGCGAAAAAUCCGGUGCAUCACAUCCAAGAAGGGGUUCAUGACAUAGGAUACCUCGCCAGUGGGGGUGUCCUUCACAGAGAGGUACGGGAGCAGCUUCUCCUUUGGAGCGGCUUGAGGCUUGGCAUGGGGGUGCAAGCCAACAGCAGUAGUGAGGCCCUCAUCCCUGACCUGAAGAAGAUCCAUGAAGUCUUUCCAGGUAGCAGUCAGCUGCACUCCAUUUGUCAACCAAGUCAUAGUACGAGCCUCAUCAUGGUGAAAGUGCACUGUAGCAAAGAAGUGAGCUACAAUGGAAAUGUCAAAAUCCUGUUGAAACGAGAUGAGGUCCGCAAUCUGAAGUUGUUCCACCAUAGCAAUGGCCUCCCCAAAAUAAGACAUGUCCUUCCUCAAAUGAUCAAGAUCAAUCCACUGCACCAGGACAUAUAGGUUCUUCUUCGACCUGAGAACAUCUUCAUAGAUUAAGAAUUGAUUGCGAUUCCAAAAUAGUUCACCGACAGGGAAGUUCUCCCUAUUGUUGGCAUAUGGGUUGAGCUUGCGACGGUGUUGGAACUCGGCAAGCGGCAUGGUGUUCCAGUUGACUGAGGGCUUCUUUGGACCAGGCUUCUUGAACGAGCGCUUGGGGGCAUUGGAGCCUUCAGGCGGAUCAGAGGAAGAUCGCUUGGAACUGGCAGUGCGAGACGGGUUGGGACGACGGGAACCACCACCUGGGACACGCAAACAACACACAAAACACGAAAGAAAGGAGAAACAAGUCAAGGCAACGAUCAAGAAAUACCAGAAAACCCAUAAAACACAAUAGAUUAGUGUGUGUGCACAAAGGGGAGCGGUAGUAAAAUUUUACUAGCGCUCUGGAAGAGGUAGUACCGCCUUGAGGGCGGUAGUACCGCACGGGACGGCCUAAUCACAGAUCUAUGCAAAUUUUACAGGGAAAAACUUGUGAAGAAGAUUGAAAACCUUAGAUCUAGAUCCUAUGCACGCCUAGACACACACACCGCCUAUGCAAGGAAUCAUACUACCAAAAAGCUGCCACUAAAUCCCAAUCACGAUGCCAUGAGACCAUAUGCCCUAACCCUAGAUUGAAUCAACGAUCAAAGCAUAAGAGUGCAGAUGAGGGGCAGUACCGGUGUCCAUGGCGCGUGGGGAAGAGUCCCACCGGUCGGAAUCGGAGGACGAUGGCCGGAUAGGGAGAUCCGGCGAUGCCUUAGGGCAGUUUUUGAGGAGAGGAGAGAGAGACAGAGAAGAACUCGGGGCUGAGGGGGAAAGAGAAAGGCCUCCCAGCCCUUUAAAUAGUCCCCUGGGCGAGGCGGCGCGGUAGUACCGUAGUCAUCGCGGUAGUACCGCGCCCACAACGGUAGUAAAAAAUUAGUACCGUGCUGGGGGCGGUAGUACCGCAUGGUGAGCGGUAGUACCGCUCCCCCAGCGGUAGUAAAUUUUUACUACCGUGCUGGGGGCGGUAGUACUGUUCUCGAAGUCACAAAAUGGCCACAAAAUGAACUCUCUACUCCUUAGGUGGUGGAAAAACUUGAUCAAGCCAAGAGAAAACAAAACACGGAAGCAAGAAAGACACACCGAAAGAAAAGAAACAACACAGAGUCUCCAGGGGAGAGGGCGGUGGCCGAGGCCACCUAUGUUUGAGACAAAUGGUAUGACACCGCGAAGAAUUAUCCUUGGUUUCAUGACCAUAUCUCGUCUUUGAAGCACAAGUGCCAUUUGGUGAUGGCCAAAGUGAAAGACUUGAUCGAUUUAUGCAUAAUGGGGGGAGGGAAAGUUCAUUGAGAGAACAACACUCCCCCUAUGUCCAUGCCUACAUCUAGAGCAAGAUAUAAUGUAGAGUAAGGUGCAAAGUGCCUAGUUUCAAUCCACAUUACUUGAAUCAAUGAUAUUUAGCUCAUGCCUUAACUCCCGGAACCUUGCUUCAUCUAGGGGCUUAGUGAAAAUAUCUGCAAGUUGCUCUUCAGUGUUGAUGAAGUGAAUCUCAAUAUCAGCUAGCUUGAUAUGUUCACGAAUGAAGGGAUGGCGAAUAUCAAUGUGCUUGAUCUUGCUGUGUUGAACCGGAUUGAGAGAAAUCUUGAUAGCACUUUGAUUGUCACAUAGGAGAGGCACUUUGUCACAAGUGACACAGUAGUCCUUUAGAGUUUGCCUCAUCUAUAACAACUGGGCACAACAACUUGCAGCUGCUACAUACUCAGCUUCGGUGGAGGAUAGUGAGACACAAUUCUGCUUCUUUGAAGACCAACUUACCAGUGAACGACCAAGGAAUUGACAUCCUCCAGAGGUUGACUUCCUCUUCACAUAGUCUCCUGCCCAAUCUGAGUCAGAAUAGCCCACUAGGUUAAAGUUUGCUCCUUUGGGAUACCAUAGACCAAAGUUUGGGGUAUGAGCCAAAUAUCGAAAGAUUCGUUUGACAUCCAUGUAAUGGCUUUCCUUUGGUGAGGAUUGAAACCGUGCACAAAUCCCUACACUCAACAUGAUAGCUGGUCUAGAUGCACAAAGGUAAAGGAGGGAUCCAAUCAUGGAGCGAUAUACCUUUUGAUCCACUACUUUACCAUUGGGAUCACUGUCAAGCUUGCAUCGUGUUGGCAUGGGAAACUUGACCGGCUUGACAUCCUCUAGCUCAAACCUCUUGAGCAUGUCUUGAGUGUACUUGGCUUGUUUGAUGAAAGUCCCUUCUAAGCCUUGUUUGAUCUCGAACCCGAGGAAGAACUUCCACUUUCCCAUCAUAGACAUCUCAAAUUCCUCGGUCAUCAGUGCAACAAAUUCUUCAUUGAAAGAUUCGUUAGGAGAACCAAAAAUGAUGUCAUCAACAUAUAGUUGGCAUAUGAACAAAUCCCCUUUGACCCUCUUAGUAAAAAGAGUGGGAUCAAUCUUCCCAAUUUCAAACCCACGAUCUUGUAACAACUCAGUAAGAUACUCAUACCACGCACGUGGGGCUUGUUUAAGGCCAUAGAGUGCCUUAUUCAGUUUGUACACAUGAUUGGGGAGCUUGGGUUGUUCGAACCCCGGGGGUUGUUUGACAUAGACCAACUCAUUUAAAGGACCAUUAAGAAAGGCACUUUUCACAUCCAUUUGUUGUAAUUUGAAAUUAUGAUGAGAAGCAAAUGCAAGCAUCAUGCGAAUAGAUUCUAGACGAGCAACAGGUGCAAAGGUUUCACCGUAGUCGAUACCCUCGACUUGGGAGUAGCCUUGAGCCACCAAUCUUGCCUUGUUUCGAAUCACAAUCCCAUUGGCAUCUUGCUUGUUUUUUAAGAUCCAUUUGGUCCCAAAGACAUUAUGUUCCUCCUUUGGCCUUGGCACUAAAUCCCAUACUUGAUUGCACUCGAAGUUGUUGAGUUCUUCAUGCAUGGCCAUAAGCCAAUCCUCAUCAUCGAGCGCUUCCUGUACCUAUUGAGGUUCACAGUACGAAACAAACGCGUGAUGCUCACAAUAAUUCCAAAUUUGUUGACGAGUGGAUACUCCCCUUUUCAAACUACCAAGUACAUUCUUCAUAAGAUGUGACUUGACUCUCAGCUUGUUCACAAUCUUGGUUGCGCGACGCUCCAAGAGUUCUUCAUUUGAUAACUGGAGAACAUCGACAUGAUUACUUUGCUUGCCCUUGCGUUUUGAUCCUCCCUUGGCACCAGUACCCCUUUUAGGCGCUGCAGAAGGGAAUUGAGAGACAACAUCCUGAUCAACUUGAUCUUCGACUUGAGCAGGUUCACUAGUUUGUCCUUGUUCUUGUGGUUGCUCUUGAUCUUGAUCUUGUGCUUCUAUUUGGUCUGGAUCAUGUGGUUGCACUUGAUCUUGAUCUUGAGCAGGUUCGGAACCUUGGGUGAGUGCUUGUACUUCAUGGGACACGUCACCAUCUUUAGGCAAUUGGUCCUGAUCUUGAGUUUGUUCAACUUGUUGAGGGUCUUCUCUUUGUUCAUCGGAAGCGUGUGGGACUUGUGAGGAUGAUGGCUCCACUUGAGUAGAGCAUUGUCCUUCUCCUUCGUCCACAAGGGGUUCCUCAAUGGGGAGUAUUUGACCAAUCCCCAUUCUUCUUAUGGCUUGGGGAGGAAUUUCAUCCCCUACAUCACAAAGACCACUUUACUCCACUUGGGAGCCAUUAUUUUCAUCAAACUCCACGUUACACGUCUCCUCAAUGAGUCUGGUGGACUUGUUGAGGACACGGUAAGCAUGAGAGUUUGUAGCAUAACCAACAAAUAUGCCCUCAUGUGCUCUAGAAUCAAAUUUAGCUAAACGUGCACCUUUCUUGAGAAUGAAACACUUACACCCGAAUACCCGGAAGUACUUGAGAUUGGGUUUGUUUCCGGUGAGAAUCUCAUAUGGGGUCUUGUUCAAGCCUUUGCGGAUAUAGAGCCGAUUGGACACAUGACAUGCUGUGUUGAUGGCUUCGGCCCAAAAGUUAUAUGGAGAUUUGAAUUCCGCCAUCAUUGUUCUUGCAGCAUCCAUCAGUGUCCGGUUCUUCCUUUCCGCCACACCAUUUUGUUGAGGGGUAUAUGGUGCCGAAUGUUGAUGUUUUAUUCCCUCGUCACCUAGAAACUCAUCCAAGGUGUAGUUCUUGAACUCGGUGCCGUUGUCACUUCUGAUCAUCAAAAUCUUUGCUUCAUGAUGACGUUGAGCUUCGUUAGCAAAGUUGAUAACAGUUUGUUGAGUCUCACUCUUCCUCUUGAAGAAAUAUACCCAAGUGUAUCUUGAGUAAUCAUCAACAAUCACCAAGCAGUACUUUCUGCCCCCAAGACUAUCAAAUGAUGGGGGACUGAAGAGAUCCAUAUGAAGGAGCUCCAACGGUCUCUUAGUGUAAAUGAGAGUCGUUGGACGAUGAGCAGUUUCAUGGAUUUUUCCUUCAAUGCAGGCACUUCAAGCACGAUCUCUGGCAAAACUCACAUUUGUUAGUCCACGAAUAUGGUCCCCUUUAAGGAGACUUUGCAAAGAUCUCAUAUUGACAUGAGCUAGUCGGCGAUGCCAAAGACAGCCCACAUCAACUUUAGCCAUUAGACAUGUCGCAGUCUUAGUGGGUCGCUUUGAAAAGUUCACCACAUAGAGACCAUUUUCGACAUGUCCAACAUAGGCUACUUUAAGAGUCUUGCUCCACAAAAGGACCACAAUAUCAAGAUUAAAGAAUGUGGAAAAGCCCGUAAUUGCAAGUUGACGAACCGAUAGUAAAUUAUAAGCAAGGGACUCAACAAGCAUGAACUUCUCAAUAGAUAACUCUUGAGAGAUGAUCACCUUACCAAAUCCCAAUACCUUUGACGAUGAUGCAUCGGCGAAUUGGACAUGGGUGGGCAUAGAUGGGGAAGGAUGCACAUCCACCACUAAGUCCUUGCUUCCGGUGAUAUGAUUUGUUGCUCCACUAUCGAGCAACCAUGACACCCUCCGGAAGCAAACUCCUGCAAUAGAUCAAGGCUUGGUUUUAGGUACCCAUUUUUGAAUGGGUCCUUUAAUGUUAGAGACAAGGGUCUUAGGAACCCAAAUUGCACAUUCAAUGUACUCAUAGUAUGAACCAACAAAUCUGGCAUAAACAUGCCCAUCACCAGCAUGACAUAAAACAUAGGAAGGAUUUAGUUUGUCGGCUGUGUUGGUAGGAAUGGUUUUGCCCUUCUUGAUGCUCCCAUUUUCCACCUUGUUCCUGUUCACCUCCUGAUUCCCUUCGCCCUCUUUGACAAAGAUAUCCAUGAGGGUGGGGGAUCUGUUGUUCCUGUUCUUUCUUUUUCUUUUAGACUUAGAUGUAAUUCCAAGCCCCUCCUUUCCUACCACACCCUUUUGAUUGCUCAAAAGGUCGUUCAGGCUCUUCUUGCCUUGGAUGCAUGACACAAGGCCCUUCUCAAGUUUAUCCUUCAACUUGGCAUUUUCCUCCACAAGAUGUACAUGCUCACAACAAGGGUUAGUUGUACAAGCAUUAUCAAUUAAAACAAAAGUAGGACAAGUAGAGAUUUCCUUGGUAAUCUUUGCUUGAAGUUGAUCAUGAGACUCUUUCAGGGAGAAAUGACUACCUUUCAAGGCCUUGUGAGCCUUGUCAAGUGUGUCAAACUCCAUUUUGAGUCUGUCAUGGUCAACCCCAAGAGCAUCCUUUUCAGACUGAAGCAUACGAGUAAGAACAGUAGCAUGAUCUAGUUUCUUUUGCAAUUUAGCACAGUCAUCGUUGUAUGACUCCUCAGGAGCCAAACGAAGAGUGCGCUCCGUUUCUAGUGCAGUAGAAAGUUCAGCAAUCUCAUCGGCAUAGUCAUGACUAUGACCUUGCAUCUCGGAGAUGGUCUCCUCAUGAGACUCGAUGAGGUCAUUAGCCUCACCCAAUUGUUCCAAAAGGGCAACAAAGUGCCUCUUGGUUUCUCCUUUGAUAGUACACAGAAAUUUGUCAAGAUCAUGCUCAUUAAGUUCUACAACAUCACUAUCAUCAACACAAUUCAACAAUGAGGGAGCACUAGUGAUGUUGGUCUUAAUGUUGGGUAUUACCUGAGUGAUACCUUUGGCCAUGAGGCACUUGGCGAUGUGAUUAUCGUUGGGGGCGUUGAAGAGAGAGACAUUCUUGGGAGAAGGAGUGGCGAUAGCGACAGUCGCAGUUGCCACCAUAUCAUCAUCAUCAUCAUCAUCAUCGGAGGGGUACUCUUCAAGUGCCACCUGUUGGGGAACGUCGCAUGGGAAACAAAAAAUUUCCUACGCGCACGAAGACCUAUCAUGGUGAUGUCCAUCUACGAGAGGGGAUGAGUGAUCUACGUACCCUUGUAGAUCGUACAGCAGAAGCGUUUAGAGAACGCGGUUGAUGUAGUGGAACGUCCUCACGUCCCUCGAUCCGCCCCGCGAACAAUCCCGCGAUCAGUCCCACGAUCUAGUACCGAACGGACGGCACCUCCGCGUUCAGCACACGUACAGCUCGACGAUGAUCUCGGCCUUCUUGAUCCAGCAAGAGAGACGGAGAGGUAGAAGAGUUCUCCGGCAGCGUGACGGCGCUCCGGAGGUUGGUGAUGAUCUUGUCUCAGCAGGGCUCCGCCCGAGCUCCGCAGAAACACGAUCUAGAGGAAAAACUAUGGAGGUAUGUGGUCGGGCAGCCGUGAAAAAGUCGUCUCAAAUCUGCCCUAAAAGCCCCAUAUAUAUAGGAGGAGGGAGGGGAACCUUGCCUUGGGGUCCAAGGGAUCCCCAAGGGGUCGGCCGAGCCAAGGGGGGGAGGACUCCCCCCCCAAACCGAGUUGGACUUGGUUUGGUGGGAGGAGUCCCCCUCCCUUCCCACUUCUUCCCUCCUUUUUUUUUCCUUUGAUUUUCUUAUCUUGGCGCAUAGGCUUCCUUGGGGCUGUCCCACCAGCCCACUAAGGGCUGGUGUGUUCCCCCAAAGCCUAUGGGCUUCCCCGGAGUGGGUUGCCCCCCUCCGGUGAACUCCCGGAACCCAUUCGUCAUUUCCCGGUACAUUCCCGGUAACUCCGAAAACCUUCCGGUAAUCAAAUGAGGUCAUCCUAUAUAUCAAUCUUCGUUUCCGGACCAUUCCGGAAACCCUCGUGACGUCCGUGAUCUCAUCCGGGACUCCGAACAACAUUCGGUAACCAACCAUAUAACUCAAAUACGCAUAAAACAACGUCGAACCUUAAGUGUGCAGACCCUGCGGGUUCGAGAACUAUGUAGACAUGACCCGAGAGACUCCUCGGUCAAUAUCCAAUAGCGGGACCUGGAUGCCCAUAUUGGAUCCUACAUAUUCUACAAAGAUCUUAUCGUUUGAACCUCAGUGCCAAGGAUUCGUAUAAUCCCGUAUGUCAUUCCCUUUGUCCUUCGGUAUGUUACUUGCCCGAAAUUCGAUCGUUGGUAUCCGCAUACCUAUUUCAAUCUCGUUUACCGGCAAGUCUCUUUACUCGUUCCGUAAUACAAGAUCCCGUAACUUACACUAAGUCACAUUGCUUGCAAGGCUUGUGUGUGAUGUUGUAUUACCGAGUGGGCCCCGAGAUACCUCUCCGUCACACGGAGUGACAAAUCCCAGUCUUGAUCCAUACUAACUCAACCAACACCUUCGGAGAUACCUGUAGAGCAUCUUUAUAGUCACCCAGUUACGUUGCGACGUUUGAUACACACAAAGCAUUCCUCCGGUGUCAGUGAGUUAUAUGAUCUCAUGGUCAUAGGAAUAAAUACUUGACACGCAGAAAACAGUAGCAACAAAAUGACACGAUCAACAUGCUACGUCCAUUAGUUUGGGUCUAGUCCAUCACGUGAUUCUCCUAAUGACGUGAUCCAGUUAUCAAGCAACAACACCUUGUUCAUAUUCAGAAGACACUGACUAUCAUCGAUCAACUGGCUAGCCAACUAGAGGCAUGCUAGGGACGGUGUUUUGUCUAUGUAUCCACACAUGUAAAUGAGUCUUCAUUCAAUACAAUUAUAGCAUGGAUAAUAAACUAUUAUCUUGAUACAGGAAUUAUAAUAAUAACUAUACAUUUAUUAUUGCCUCUAGGGCAUAAUUCCAACACCACCAUACCCUUUGGAUGGGGUUUCUUGACAAAGUUGUUCUUGCUUGGGAAUGACUUUGUUUUGUCUUUGCGAAUGAGCUUGCCUGUGUUGUCUUCCCUCUUCUCAUAAGGACAUUCCGCCACGAAGUGGCUCACAUUACCACAGUUAUAGCAUGUCCUCACUCGUUGCUUGGGUUUGAACCCGCUUGAGUUGUUCUUGGUGAAGUUGGGUCUUGAAUUCCUCUUGUUGCCCCAGAAUUGCCUGGACUCAAGAGCCAUGUGCUCGUGAUAAGCAUACUUAGUGUCUUCAGGGCAGCUCUACUCUUCCUCAUCCUCCUCUUCUUCUUCAGAAGCAGCCUUUGCCUUCAAAGCAAGGUUAGGUGAAGCUGUCUUUGACCGAACUCGAGCAAGUGCAUUGUCAGCGGUCUCGUUCAUGAUUGACAUUGCAAUGAAUUCGUCCAACACCUCACUGGAAGACAAGGAGUGGAAAUCUGGUCGUUGGCGAAUGACUGAUGACAUGGCUUUGUUGAAAGGCAUGAUGGCCUUGAGAAACUUAUGCUUGACCCAUGUGUCAUCCACAUCCUUGCUCCCAUGAUCCUUGAGAGCAACAACAAUAGCAGUCACCCUCCGAUAGAGAUCACGAGGGUCCUCAUCUUCCUUCAUUACAAACUCAUCGGCCUUAUCAAGUAUCACUUCAUAGUUUGACCGUUGAAUUAUAGAGCUUCCCUUGUAUAGCACCAUAAUGUGCUCCCAACAGUCUUUGGCCAGAGACAAGGGGCGCAAGUGAGGAAGAUCUUCAGGCGGUACUUCGGACUAUAGAAUAAACAAUGCGGAGUGAUUAUAUUGAUUGCCCGCUUCUUCUCUUGGAGUGAAGUUGCUUGGGUCAUGAGGAUAGUAGCCUUGCUCGAUGAUUCUUCAUAAAUUUGUUGAGCUGUGAUUCAAAUGAGACUUAAUAGAAAACACCCAGUUAGCAAAAUCACCCUUAACAAGCUUAGGAGGAGGACCAACAGGAUUAAGACGCGGUGUGGGAACGGGUCCUCCAUACACCAUGGGAGGUGGAACUGAGGCAUAGGUUCCAGUCCCAUCCUUUUUGAGAGAUGAGGAAGGUCGCAUACCUUUAGCCGCUUCCUUAGAGGAAUUGGCCUCUGAAUCGGUGAUGGUGGGUUUAACCACUAACACCGGUUCGGGUGAACUUUUAAUUCCCACAAUUAACUCUUUAAGCAUGGUCUUGACUUCGUUCGUCAAGGACGUCUUGAGGGCGGCCAUAGCCGUAUUCAAGUCGUCCCUUGUGACCGAAGUCAAGUCCAUGGCCUCGGGUUGCCCAUGGGGAACUCCCUCUUUGUCUUCCAUACUCUUCGGGUGGUGAAACCCUUAAUAAAGAGACGUGGCUCUGAUACCAAUUGAAAGUAUCGAUAUGGUUGACUAGAGGGGGGGUGAAUAGGCAACUACCAAUUUUUAGCUUUUCUAAAUAAAUAAGGAGUAGCAAUCAUAAAGGUUCACUAACAUGACACUAGGAGGACAACCUAUAUGAUGCUACUUAUCAACGAGUAAAGAAGCACGUAGGAGAUACUCUACAAUACCAACAAAUACAAAGUAAAGGUAAGAGAUAACUACAAGUGGAACCGAUGAAGACGAGGAUGUGUUACCGAAGUUCCUUCCCUUUGACAGGAAGUACGUCUCCGUUGGAGCGGUGUGGAGGCACAAUGCUCCCCAAUAAGCCACUAGGGCCACCGUAUUCUCCUCACGCCCUCGCACAAUGCAAGGUACCGUGAUUCCACUAUAGGUGCUCUUGAAGGCGGCGACCGAACCUUUACAAACAAGGUUGGGGCAAUCUCCACACAAAUCAUGGAGGCUCCCAACAAGACCACGGAGCUUCACCACAACGGAAUGUGGCUCCGAGGUGACCUCAACCGUCUAGGAUGCUCAAACACCCAAGAGUAACAAGAUCCGCAAGGGAUUAGUAGGGGGAAUCAAAUAUCCUUUGGUGGAAGUGUAGAUCAAGGCCUUCUUAAGCAAUCCCUAGAAAAUCAACAAGGUUGAUUGGCUAGGGAGAGAGAUCGGGCUAAAAUGAGCUUGUGGAGCAACAAUGGAGCUUAGAGAGGUUAAAGGUGGGCUCUAGGGAGAAGAAGAUGCCUUUAUGUAGUAGGGGAGGCAGAUCCAACUGUUAUCCACCUAUCACAUAAAUGCACGAGCGGUACUACCGCUCCUGGAGCGGUACUACCGCUCAGCUCCUCACCAACCACGGUAGUACCGGGGUACUACCGUGCCACCACCUCCGUGGGAAAGUAUGCGAGAAAAAGCCCGUCGGUGCGGUAGUAAAUUAAUACUACCGCACUGAGGGCGGUAGUACCGCCCUUGGAGCGGUAGUAAAAUACUACUACCGUUCUUCGGGCGGUAGUAUCGCUCCUGGAGCGGUAGUAAAAGAUUACUACCGCACCUGGGAAGGUAGUACCGCUCGUGGAGCGGUAGUAAAAAUUUACUACCACUCUGACAGCGGUACUACUGCUGUGCCAGCGAUACUACCGCUGUACAGCGGUACUACCGCUUAUCCUUUUUCGCAUAGGCAAGGAAAACACAAUGGUGCUCCAUUGAAGCUAAAAUAUGGGUGGGUGCAUGAGGUGUGUGCGUGAGGAUUCCACCCAAACCUUUCUGACGCGGAGCCCCUCUUGGUAAGAAGACUUUCCUAUGACUCAAACUAGGAAGAGAAAUGUAGAAGAAAAUCCGUCUUCGAGAACCUCCGAGGGGCGUCGAGUCAUCUUGUGCCUAGAAGAGAAUAUUCUGAAAUGCUCAGGACACAGAAUUAGUCCGCACAACAAUUGUCAUCAAUAAACUAAAACCACUUAGGAGAAAUAUGCCUUAACAGAGGUAGUACCUUUAUAGUGCAUAAUAUCAUAAAUUAGUACUUCCUCCGUCACGGUUUAGAAGGCACAGUUAAACUUGCGUUCGUUUCCAAAAUAUACAAGGUCUAUGGCGUGAAAGCAAUUACUCUAAUUAAUUAGUACUAGUACUACUCUUGCAUGCAUAGUGGAGAGUAUCAUAUAGUAGUAUCAUGCAUAUGAUUCUAUUGUAUGAUACUACCUCUAUAAUGCAUAGUAUCAUAAAGUAGUAUCAUAGACGACCUCAUUUAUUGACAUGCAAAACAUAUUGUAGCAUUACAUUUAACAUGUUAUGGUAUCUACGUAUGUUACUCUAACCCUCUCUCUCAUCUUUAAUUGCCUGCCACAUCAGCAUGUUUGCUAGUCCCAAGAGCAUGAUACUACCUAAGUUACUCCCACUAUGGCCAGCCUAAUUUGCUGCUCACGCAUUAAUACUAGUAUUUUCUCAGUUGAUUAGAUGCAUUAGCAUAUAGACAUACUACAUCUCACAACCAAUCGAUGACUACCUUGGUUUCAGAGAUUUUCCAAACAUGUCUUCUAAACCGUGACGGAGGGAGUAUCAUAGGUGAUCUUAUUUAUUGCCAUGCAUGAUACAAAGUAGCAUUGCAUUUAACAUGAUACGGUAUCUACCUAUGUUACUCUAACCUUCGCUUUCUUCUUUAAUUCUCUACCACAUCAGCAUGUUUGCUAUUCCCGAGUAUAUGUUACUAGCUAAGAUACUCCCACUAUGGCUAGCCCCAUUUGCGAGGUGACUCGGUGUAGUUGGUGCGCUUAGCCUUUCGCAGCGGUCCUUUUGAUUUCUUUUGAGUGGCUCGCAUGCCAGUUGUGGUCGGUUGUGGCCGUUGUUUGUUGCUACUCAUGUGUUGUGUGUUACCUGAUUGCAUGUUGGCUUUGGAGGAUGCUUGGAUACGUUUUAGUCCCAUGAUUAAAAGUAGUGGAACUAAAACUUGCUAGCCUCAUCCAUGCUUGGAUCCAAAUACUAAAAAGACUAAAAUCAAGUUAAUGAACAUUUAUUAUCCUUCAAACCAUCCAAUCCAAAACUCGCAUGUGUUAAAGGAGAGGAGUUAAAUGAGGAGAGAGAGAACUAAUCUACAUUUUAGUAUGGGUACCCUCACUAAAUUUUUUUAGUCUCAAGACUAGUUUUAACCCCUCUUUAGUCAGGGGUGCUUGAAACUUUAGCCUCUUAAAAAGACUACUUUUAGUCAGACUAGUUUUAGUCGCUUGGAUCCAAACACCCUCUUAUUAAUUUAAAGUCAAACUCGGGCCUUUUCUAUAAGAAAAAGAGUACUUGAUUGUUUACAUAGUGUAUAAAUUAUUAAUAUAGGCAGGAGAUUUAAUCUUAGUGACUAAUGUGUAAAUUCGACUUGAAAAAUGCACGGAACCUGGGCCAGGUAAGAGCAGCGGCGAGAAACUUGACUCUUUAGGUCACCAAGGUCGUCGUCAAUCACGCUGUAUCCGAGAUUUCUGUCCUUGUUUCGUCUGACUCAAGUUGCAACGAGACAUACGACUGCUCUGCAAGGGCAGGCCAAUUCGCCCAGAGUUAAUGAAACCGGUUAGCAGCUGUAGACAGGCCUGCAUGGAAUGGUAAAUUCAUGGUUGGUGACGUUGUGGACAAUUUUCACACAAAGAACAGGUCAAUGAGGAGCGGAGGCACGGUAAACCGAGGCUCAUAAUUCAACGAAGCAUGUUCCUUCACAUGCUCUUUUAUUUGCCAUGGCUAGCCAUGUUGGGUUAAGACAUCCGGAUAAUCUUUUAUUUUAUCCAUAUAAACAUUGUAUAAUGAUUUAAAUAAAAGCUUGAUGAGAUUGUCUAGAAAAAAAGACACACACGUGCAGCACUCUCACUGACUCACGUACCCUUGAGCAAUGCAAUAGCAUCUCCUAUCAGAUUUGUACUUUUUUUGCGGGAAAAAGAGUACAAAUGUACAGGUAAAAAGAAGUACUGAAAUGUGUAAAUUAUCAUAGGCAGCAGAUUUAACCCUAGUGACUAGAAUGUCUAAAAUCGAUUUGAAUAAUGCAUGGAACAUGGACCAGGCAAGAGCAGCAUCGAAAAACUUGACUCUUUAGAGCAAGUACAAUAACAAAUUUAUAGCCUAUUUAGAUUCUAUGAGAGCAUGAUUAAUAAUAUAAUCAAUAAUCGGCUACAAGGAGUUGUCAUGCCAUUUACAGCCAACCUAAUAGCCGGCAUGCACUAUAGUAAAUUUUAAAUAUGUACUAGUACUUUAUUAGUAGUUGGCUCAUCUUACAAUCUUACGAAACGUUUUGGGGCUCAUGUUGCAGCUGGCUACUAAUCAAUAGUCUGCUUCUCUUCUCUUUCAUCUUCUCUUUCUUCCACCUAAACAAAAAUAUAAUAUUCAAAUCAUUCUAAUCCGUUUAUGUCAUUUUAUUGUAUUUGCUCUGAACAGCCUUAUAGCUAGCCGCCGGCUGUAUUAUUAAGGGUUAGUUAUUUUGUUGCCUUCUAGAAUAAGCUGGAAUAAGCUAUCCCUACUCAGCUUAUUCUAGAAAACCAAUCAAAUUUACUUUUUAGAAGGGAAUCGUUUCCAUACGACGCGCAGGCCGAACCGACGCGCCGGUCGCUUCCUUGCGCGCACGGGUUCAUGCAAUAUUUUUCGCACGUGCGCGCUUCGCUGGUCAGUGGAUGCAACAUUUUUCGUUGAAAUUUGUUGCAACCAGCGUCAUAUUUGUUGCAUGUGUUUUUUACUACAUUUGUCUAGUAAAAAAGUUGCAUAUACGUUUGGUUGCAACUCCAGUUCGUCGGAUUUUUCGUUACAAUCGAUGUUUGUUAUUUUUGCUACAACAGUGUUAAUUUUUGCUACAACCGGUAUUAUUUUUUGCUGCAAUCAUUCACUAAAAAAGUUGCAUACACGUUCACGUAGAUAUUUGUUACAACUGACGUUUGACUUUUGCUAUCACGCACCAUCAGAUUCGUUUUUUUGCUACGAUCACGUAGAUAUUUUUUUUGCUACAAAUUUUGUUUUUUGUUGCAGUCGUUGAAAAAAUUACUGCAUCGCGACGAAUUUUGCUGCAUCGGAAGAAAAAAUGUUGCAUUGAUAUCCAACGGUGCGGACGCGCGGGGGUUGGUGGAUCGUGCGGCCGGCGCGCUGGCGCAGAGCACUGCCUUUUUUAUAAGUCUAUUAAUUAAGACGUGACUAGUAAGCAUUUAAAAAUAUAUUUUUGAUUGGAUUUUUAAAAUAAACUAGAUAGAAGGUAACUUAUUCUAGAAGCUCAAAAAAAGUCAUAAAAAAACUGACCCUAACCAGCCAAGGUCAUCGCCAAUCACGCUGUAUCCGAGAUUUCUGUGCUUGUUUCGUCUAACUCAAGUUGCAACCAUACACUACUGCUCUGCAAACGCAUGCCACCGAAUGAAACCGGUUAGGGUAAAAUUGUCACAUUGAUGAUUUUAAUGACAUGUUGCAUAAUAAAAGAAGAGAAAUAAUGAAACCGUAUGAACCUGAAGCAACGGUUCAUGCACAAGCUCCGAGGCAAACAUGUUAUUUUUUUACUAUUUAGUAAACUCAUUUAGUUAUUUUACAUACGAUUAACAUACACUUUAUUGAAGAGCUUGUAUGAUGUACUGUUGGUUGUUAACGUGGACACUUAUACCAACGAUUGAAUAUAUGAACUGUUGAAGAUGCUCUUAGCAGCUGUAGACAGGCCUGCAUGGAAUGGUAAAUGCAUGGUUGGUGACGUUGUGGACAAUUUCCACACAAAGAACAGGUCGACGAGGAGCGGAGACACUGUUCCCAUGCAACAUUCAACGGUCAACCUGGCUAGCUAGCUUGUCCCCACGCAGAGCUAGCACACCGGCACCGCGAAAUCUCAAAGCUCGAUCGGAUCACCGACGCGCAAUCAGCGAGACACCGCGAAGUCCAUGGAACGCCGCCGGUCAGACGCUUGAUCGCUGCCCGGUCCAAAUUUGCGUGCGUCGCAACGUGCGCCGCCCACGAAACGCGGCUUGCACAUACGUCGUUGCCAAGCUAUUGCCUUCGUACGUACGUGGUCGUCCGGGACGACCUAUAAAUAUGUCAUCCGUAACCCAGCCGGAGGAAACAACGCACCACUCGAAGCAGCCAUCUCUCUAGACUCUAGUGUGCUACUGCGAAAGGAAGAUGGCGACUAAGCUAAAGCUCGCGGCGCUCGUUGUCUUGGCCGCGUUCCUCGCCGGACCGGCGGCGUCCGAGGCCGCCAGCAUUUGCUUCAACGGCUGGCUGAGGCUACCCACCUACAACCCGCAGCUCUGUCGCUCCAGCCCGACCGUUCGGACGCGGCAGAGGGUACCUGCUCCCUCGGGGUCCGGGCUCACCUCCGGCUAUUACAACACCAGGUGCCCUAGCGCGGAGCAGAUCGUCACGGACGCCGUGAAGAAGGCCGUGGAUGCCAACCCUGGCAUUGGUGCCGGGCUCAUCCGUCUCUUCUUCCACGACUGCUUCGUUCGGGUACACACACAGCUCCUCGAUUCUAUAGCUUAUAUUCUACCAUAUUCAUUAUAUGUGGAACAACAUGUUCAUUAUGUGGAACAACAUGUUAAUAUUAUUUAGGGGUGCGAUGCUUCGGUCCUCCUCAACACGACCAACUCCAAGAACAGCGACACGGAGAGGGAGGGCCCUCCGAACAAGGACAGCCUGCGAGGGUUCGAGGUGAUCGACGAGGCCAAAGCGGCGAUCGAGGCCGCCUGCCCCAGCACAGUCUCAUGCGCCGACAUCGUGGCCUUCGCCGCCCGCGACGCGUCCUACUUCCUCAGCGACCGCAGGAUCAACAUCCAGAUGCCGGGCGGCCGCUACGACGGCCGCGAGUCCUUUGCCAACGAGACCGACCAGCUGCCCGGGCCCUUCUCCAACCUCACGGCGCUCCAAGAAAGUUUCGGGGCCAAGGGACUCACCUCUGACGAGAUGGUCGUGCUCUCCGGCGCGCACACAAUCGGCCGCGCCCGCUGUAUGUUUUUCUCCAGCCGCUUCCCUGAGAUGGACCCGGCAUUUGCCGCCAAGCUCAGGGCACAGUGCAACGGCAAUGACAACACCAACGUGAACC
rnacentral:lncRNA from 1 species